rnacentral:lncRNA from 1 species
GUGCGGCCACGCAGCCCGCGUUGACGUGACUGCGCGCUGUGCACUCCCCUCCCCUCACCUUGUGCAGCUUUGCAGCGGCAAGAGCCAGCAGCACAAGCGUGCCUGCUGCCGCGGCUGCAGCGCCGACCCCCGGCCCUGGCGCUAUCUUUGCUAGAUCGUGCACACGCAACGGGCCCUCAACACCAGAAGCUGAACGGAAACGGUGGGCACGCGCGAACGAGGCACCUGAGAAGCGUGCAGAACGCUUGAAGAAAGAUGCGAAGCGCAAGCGCCAGAAACGGGCUGCGCAAUCUAAGAAGGCGGUAAAGUAGCAAAGGUAAUUUAAAGAUAGAUGUACAGGGGUAGGUGGUGGUUAUUUUAUGAACCAUGAUUAAGUUCCAUGUUGAAGCACCGUGGAUGAGGGCAUCAUAGUAUAACGCAGAACGCAAGAAUGGCAACUGCCUUUGCGCACUGGUAGUUGUGGCGUGGCCAGUCUGGCUACGCCAUGGCAUGGGUCCGUAACGAUGUUGGACACGCCGAACGUUUACUUAUGAUCGCCGAUACCGAUGGUGCCUAGACAUUUGCGCCUGUACUGAUUUGCAUUUAUGUUCAUGUGCAUCGUGUGUCACAUUCACAUGUUACACAUGCAUGUCCGCUCACACGCCCAAGCGCUACCGCACACGCCCAGACUAGGGCCAGGGGUGGCGGGGGAAGGGUCUCAGCGCCGGCCAGUGCGCGGGGGGCAAGCUCACACGCCCACGGGCUGGAAGGGUCACAAAAACAAAUUCGCUUUUGCAUACAUGUACACUCAAAACUGCUAUCACGACGGGCAGAGUUGAAGCACCGUGGAUGAGGGCAUCAUAGUAUAACGCAGAACGCAAGAAUGGCAACUGCCUUUGCGCACUGGUAGUUGUGGCGUGGCCAGUCUGGCUACGCCAUGGCAUGGGUCCUUAUUGACUCCUUACUGCCGUGUAGCGUUACAAACCGCCACGGCCCCAAACGACAAUCCCAAUCUCUCAAACCGACAAUAGCCUCCACUCAUGCCUCAAGCGGCCUAGCAACUCAUUCGUGGCCCUCAGCGGCCUCCUACCUCCGGCCUCGCAGCUCCCGAUAACCCCACCAAGUCCGCCGUGCCCGCCCCAGCCCGCCCGUGUUGAGGUUGCACUAGUGGCCGAAAGUGCUGCCAGUACUGGGUGUGUCGCAUGUAUGAAGUGCCUGAUAGCAGCAGAGUCCAGACAACCACGCACGCCGCAGCGCCCACGGGUGCCACCACAUUAAUCCGCGGCGGCACCAGGGGGGGCGGGUGGGUUGUCACCGUCCCGGCAGAGGGACGAUCCGAAAUACAGUACAGAAGCACAACGGCAGAUAAGGCGCCGUGUGCUCCUGACGCGUACAAGACCCAGCUCGGUUCGGCCCCAUGCACAGGCACGUACCCGAGCGUCCUGCGCCGUGCGUGACUCUAACGCAACACGGCAGUUACGUCGCAAUAACUAGACUUAUCUCCACUGCGCUGCGAUAAGUCAGCGCUUAUUGACUCCUUACUGCCGUGUAGCGUUACAAACCGCCACGGCCCCAAACGACAAUCCCAAUCUCUCAAACCGACAAUAGCCUCCACUCAUGCCUCAAGCGGCCUAGCAACUCAUUCGUGGCCCUCAGCGGCCUCCUACCUCCGGCCUCGCAGCUCCCGAUAACCCCACCAAGUCCGCCGUGCCCGCCCCAGCCCGCCCGUGUUGAGGUUGCACUAGUGGCCGAAAGUGCUGCCAGAGUUUGGUAGUAGUCCUCAACGCCGGGAGGUCAUGGUGCGGGCGACGGCAGCCCUGGUGGCUGGGCUUGAUUGGCUUCGCGUAUGCAGCUCUUCUCGCAAAGCGCUCGGCCCAACGGCCGGUCAUGCAAACCAAGGUGCGGUCGGCGGUGAUGGCGGUGGCGUUCGUGCCCUUGCGCUACCGAAAUCAUGUGUCUCGAACACCGCGGAGCGCUCCGCCCAUCGCCUAGCUUGCGCACGAACGUACGGUCCUAGUUGCACACUCGACAGCGGUCAAUAGAACGAGCUUCGUGCUUGGGGAUAUUGGCUGCACGAGCAGCACCAUCACGCGGGGAUGAGCGCCGCCGGAGGCGCCGCCGGCACCUGCUGCAGGCGCAGGGCGACGCCAACGCGGGGCCUGACAGCGCCACACUCCGUCGGUCAUGGGCGGCCAAUGGUCACUACCAGAAGACAAGCAGCAAUAGGAACACGACUGGCUUUGCAAGGGCCAUGAUACCAGACUCACAAACGUAUCAGGUGCACCAAUGGCCACGACAGAAACACACAUGCGUUGUCCCGCGUGCGCCAGCCAUGCAGACGACGCCGGGGCGUUACAGGGAAACACAUGCAUCCUUGUUCAGGUGUGUGGCUUCUGGGCAGCUGUGGCCGUCCGUGUGCCCAGGAAAGGUAACAGUGCGUGUUGGCACGUGUUGGCACGAACCACUGGAGACCUCGGUACUCUCUACCGGCCCCCAGGGCCAUGCCAUAACACGUGUUGACGUUUAGGCUGCUCGGAACAACCUUGGGAAUAAUAACAACGUCGUGACUCGAAGCUGGGACAGGCUAGCCAACAUGCGCCACGCAGGAGAAGGCGCGAGUUGCAACACUAGAGCGGUUUUACGUACGCGAGUCACGCGCGGCAACCUGCCCUUCACCCGCGCCGUCGUGGUGUAGGAUGCGGGCAGCCAUGCCCAGCCGUGCAGCAUGGCCACGAACACUAAUUUCUUUCUUGCUAGCUAGGUGCCAUGCUUGAGAUUUGCAGUGUCUUGCAUAAGAGUCACUACCCAUCAAGCAGUAGGUACGCCCAUAGAUAGCAUCACCCCGGCGGACGCAGGACAGGCGCGCACGUGAAUGUUUGCCUCCAAACGCCGCGGGGAUGCAUGCACACAAUGUCCCGUACGUGCCGAUACCGUACGCCACGGCGGCUGUGGGGUGUACCGUAAUAGCAGGGAGGGCAACAUGAAGGGUAACACCUCAGCAACCCCAGCAAGGCUGGCCUGGUCGAGCGGCGCGGAGGGGUGAAGGAUACCCGGCACGCGUGGAACGCGCAAUGUAUCUAUAGUGAUAGAAGGCGUAGUGAUGGGAGGAAAUAAGGAGCACUCGGGGCCGCGAUGGCGGGUUGGAUGCGCCACGGGCCCCGGCCCAGCGAAAGGGAGCGAACGCUGGGCGGAGCCGGUGGGUGAGCGACUCGAGGGACGUGCCAGUACUGAACAGCAGUGGCGGAUGGGUCAUCCAAUGUGAGAGAUGAUACAGCCACGCCGGCAGCCAAACUCCGCACUCGACCACGUACGGGCACGUCGUGGUACUGCUGUGAGGAGGCCGGGCUGAGUUGGGAUGCCUGCCGACUGCCAAGCCCGCAGGGCACUGUCAGCCUGGCUACCCACAUGUGAGCCUGUGUCGCCAUACGCUCUUACUUAAUAGUAAUGACAUAUAGCACACUGCUCCUAGCACUUCGGUGAUAAGUAAUUGCCCCGCCGGGUGAAGUAAGGCCGGGGCUGAAGGGAACCAAGGUUGGUACCCUAGGCGUCCACUCGCGAGUGGGCAGGCGACACAUACAGUUGGCAUUGACGUGCGUUGCGGAACUAAUGCGUACGUUGGCUUGGGUCUCUGGGUUCAUGAGGCAUUGACAGAACACGCUGCCCCUGCUAUGGCUCUGACGAAGUAACAUGUAUGCAUACAUGUCCUGAAGGAUUGGCAGGGAGCGUGCCGCACAGCACGCAAGCCGCGUGACUACGGUAAGCAUGAGGCCAUAACGUGACACAGAUGCCGGGCGUGCCAUACAGGCGGCCAACGCUACGGCACAAGCCAGCUUGACGCGUCCACAGAUACAUACAUGGCGCCUGACACCUGGAUAGGAGCUAUCAGUCUGACUGUGGGGUCGAUGCUACCCCGGCAUGGAUCUGGGUUGAACGGUUGGUGGUACCAUCGCGCGGGCAUGGCGGGUCGAGUAGCGUGUUUCAUGCACGGCACUCCCGCUAACCAGCUACACACCGCAGUGUACUGGUUAUCCAACAACUACAUUCAGACCAUUCUGGUAUCCCACUCAAACCUGCGCCAAGUGUCAGGAAAAGCGCUUGCCAAGUCGGCUACCCGCUUUCACAGGAUGGCGAGCGGGUGACUGGCAUGUGUACAGGCGGGUGGGCCAACAAGAGGGGAGGGCGGAUGGGUGCCGUGACUUGGUGGUGGGCCCCACCGCGAGCAGCAACAGCCCAGCCGAACACACGGGCGCCAUCCAAACCCACCAGGCAGGCUGUAAUCCCAGCUCCGACCGUAUCUCGCAACAAAAUGUUGGUUGCGCAGGGUCGGGCUCACUGCGUGACACAGCGUCCGAUGCCUGGUGCAGGGCACGAAGGCAUGCUUAUGCGUCAUGCGGUAUUGUUAUUGGCUGGGCAAUAGCAUGCUGGCCGAACUGCACAAAACUCCACAUCGCUCACUGAGGGCGAAAUAUCCGGAAAAACAAAUUCGGCACUUGGGCCUAGCGCACACAUCGAAUGCAUAUAGGUUGGCUUGGGGUGCGUCAGCCAAACUACAAGGGUGAUGCCGCGUGAUAGUAUGAUGUGCGUGCGGACCUCAAGACGUACAGGGUGACGCAUGAUCACGUAAGCCCGCUCCGUUGUCAACACGAAGCAAUAGCGAGGCGCAGGCUUGCCGUGCACGGUACACUCAAGGCGUAUUGCGACAGGGCACGCAGCAGGGCACGCAACAAGUCGAAGCGUCCAUAACGACAGGGCAGGCAGCAUAAUUGCAUGCGGCACACGGGCCAUAUCGCAAGACACAUGAUGCGAGGCGCAAAGCCUGUUGCUGGCGGCACACACGCCGUAUCCGAACGUGGCGCUCAGACCACACAUUGUCCACAACGCAAAGGCAUGUACAACGAAGGCACGUAAGCAUUUCAAUGCCGUCUAUAAUCCACAACGCAAGAGUGUGGAGCCCGUUGCUUGCGGCACACAGGUCGUAUCAUAAGGGCACGUAUGCCAUCUAUUACCCAAAAGCAAGGGUGCGAAGCCGUUACUUGCGGCACACAGGUCACAUCAUACGGGCACGUAUGCCGUGAAUUGUCCAUAAAACAAGGGUGCGGAGCCCGUUGCUUGCGGCGCACAGGCCGUAUCAUAAGAACACGUACGCGGCGCAUUGUCCAUGAAGCAAGGGCGCGGAGCCCGUUGCCUGCGGCACACAGGCCGUAUCAUGAGGGCACGUACGCCGUGAAGUGUCCAUGGAGCAAGGGCGCGGAGCCCGUUGCCUGCGGCGCACAGGCUGUAUCAUGAGGGCACGUACGCCGUAAAUUGUCCAUGAAGCAAGGGCGCGGAGCCCAUUGCUUGCGGCGCACAGGCCGUAUCAUAGGGGCACGUAUGCCGUCCAUUGUCCAUAAAGCAAGGGCACGGAGCCCAUUGCUUGCGGCGCACAGGCCGUAUCAUAAGGGCACGUAUGCCGUCCAUUGUCCAUAAAGCAAGGGCGAGGAGCCCGUUGCUUGCGGCGCACAGGCCGUAUCAUAAGGGCACGUAUGCCGUCCAUUGUCCAUAAAGCAAGGGCGCGGAGCCCGUUGCUUGCGGCACACAGGCCGUAUCAUAAGGGCACGUAUGCCGUCCAUUGUCCAUAAAGCAAGGGCGCGGAGCCCAUUGCUUGCGGCGCACAGGCCGUAUCAUAAGGGCACGUAUGCCGUCCAUUGUCCAUAAAGCAAGGGCGCGGAGCCCAUUGCUUGCGGCACACAGGCCGUAUCAUAAGGGCACGUAUGCCGUCCAUUGUCCAUAAGGCAAGGGCGCAAAGCCCGUUGCUUGCGGCGCACAGGCCGGAUCCCAACGGCACACACGCCCUUUCCCCAAGGGCACGCGGGCCCUGCGGCCUGGAUAGGCAGACAGGGGAAGUACCGCGCCAAAAGUCCUGAGGGUCUUGGGGAGGUGGGGGUGGCACGAUGGAAGAUGUGGAAAGGUAUUGCACAAAGCUGUGAACUGUAAAGCGACGGGUAGACACGAAGGCACGGCAAGCAGGACCCGCAUGGCAAGCAAGUAGCCCGCCCGCACAGCUGUGCAUGCCCUUUUGCUUUCAGCGACUUGCCGAACGCCUUGUCCGCAACGCUUCGCGCGCCUUUGCUCCGCUUGAAAGCUCCGCUCUGCUCCGAUUUGCUCCCGAAUGCGGCCCCCGAACCAAAGCGUGGUCCAAAGCGCCAGAGAAGCGUCGAAGGGCAUUCCCUUACGAUCAGAGAGCGAGCGUGAUCAAGCUAAGGGGUUCCAUUGAGCAGGAUCGCGCAACAAAACGCUGCAACUCCGUCUGAGUAUAUAUUAAACGCUUAUUCGGUCCAGACAUGGUAAAGUAUAGUUAGAACCAGGUAUAGGAUUGCAAAGAAAGUCCAGAAAUGUAGGGAACGUUUAAGUGCGACACACUGAGGUCACCGUCCCGGCAGAGGGACGAUCCGAAAUACAGUACAGAAGCACAACGGCAGAUAAGGCGCCGUGUGCUCCUGACGCGUACAAGACCCAGCUCGGUUCGGCCCCAUGCACAGGCACGUACCCGAGCGUCCUGCGCCGUGCGUGACUCUAACGCAACACGGCAGUUACGUCGCAAUAACUAGACUUAUCUCCACUGCGCUGCGAUAAGUCAGCGCGUAACGAUGUUGGACACGCCGAACGUUUACUUAUGAUCGCCGAUACCGAUGGUGCCUAGACAUUUGCGCCUGUACUGAUUUGCAUUUAUGUUCAUGUGCAUCGUGUGUCACAUUCACAUGUUACACAUGCAUGUCCGCUCACACGCCCAAGCGCUACCGCACACGCCCAGACUAGGGCCAGGGGUGGCGGGGGAAGGGUCUCAGCGCCGGCCAGUGCGCGGGGGGCAAGCUCACACGCCCACGGGCUGGAAGGGUCACAAAAACAAAUUCGCUUUUGCAUACAUGUACACUCAAAACUGCUAUCACGACGGGCAGACGCCCUGCCCUCGCGCUGCCUGCGCGUAUCUCUUACCCUCGACCCGCGCUGGCCCUGCCCGUGCCCAGUGCUUGCUCUGCUCUCGCCCUUCCCGCGCGAAGCUCUUACCCUCGCCCCGCCCUCGCCCGCCCUCGCCCCUCCUUUGCCCCUGCCCCUGCCUUUGCCCCGCCCUCGCCCAGCCCUUGCCAGCUUUCACCCUCCCCUAACCCUGCCCUCGCCUUCGCCCUGCCCUUGCCCCGCCCUCGCCACACGCCCUGCACUCAUCCUUCCCUCGUGCCUCGCCCUCGCCCGCCCCGUGCCCUGCCCUCGCCCAGCUUUCGCCCUGCCCUCACCCUUCCCUCGCCCCUCCCUCGCGCCUCGGCGCCUCGCUCUCCCCAUGCCCUGCCCUCGCCCAGCUUUCGCCCUGCCCUCACCCUUCCCUCGCCCCUCCCUCGCGCCUCGCUCUCCCCAUGCCCUGCCCUCGCCCUGCCCUCGCCCCACCCUUGCCCCGCCUACGCCCCGCCCUCAAUCUCGCCCCGCCUUCGCCCAGCCCUUGCCCAGCUCUACACCUCCCCUUGCCCUGCCCUCACCCCUCGCUCUCGCCGUGCCUGCACCCUUCCAACGCUCCUCCCUCGCCCUCGCUCUGCUCGUGCCCUGCCCUCGCCGGUCUACCACGCGACAUACCCACAACCCCACGCCCAGGCUCACCCUCACCCACCCGCACACAUCACACGAUUUUGUGUUUGAAAGCUGAUGAGCUACGGCCCCCUCAAGCCAGCUGGACUUGUGCAGCCAACCUGGAGGUGGUUGGCUUGCCCCUUCCCCCGAAGGGGGAGGGGCAAUAGCCAUUGCGGUCGCAUCGAGCUCGCCGCGGGGGGCCCUCCCGGUUAUUCCAGUUUUGAGUUGAGUUAUAACCUUGAAACCCGAGCGCAGCGAAAUUUGUCGUGCAAAUAAUGCGCCUUUCUAUGUAUGUAUUGCAAAGCGUAACUUUAUGAAAACGCAAGCCCUAUGCCAGAGCGGGGUAAACGCACAAGCGCAGCGUUUGCAUUAGAGCUCCAGCGCAACAUACAAUAUAUCACAAAUUGUAUCGAUAAUCAAGGCUCCCGGCACGGAAGGACGCAAGACGGAGGAAUCGACGCGUUGGAGGAUCCCGGAAAUUGCGCGCGAAAGCGCGAGGCGCAAAAGGUUGGCGCUAUCAGUUUUAGUUUCCCCGCAAUGACGAAUGCCGCGUUCUGUAUUCUGCUCGCACAUCACCCGGCACAUCGGCGUUACUCUCGCCCGCUUCUCGCUGGCUGGUCCGCCCUGAGUCCGUGCCCCCGCUGAGUCCGAGCCCCCAUCCCCGCUCACUUACCCACCCCCAGCCCGCGGCGCCCUGAGCUACCGAAGGCAAUAUCAUGACCGGUAGUAUGGCUGCUCGCAGCCCCCAGCAGACCUAUAUGAUACUUCCACCAUCCGCCAGUCCAUCCCACCCCACCCCAUCCCCACACCGCAUUCCGGGGCGCACGGCAUGGAGCGCCCUGAGGGGGGAGGGGCAAGCCGGAGUACUGCGUAGCGGUAGGUGUUUCCGGUCAGGGGCGGGAGUACCCUGGCUUAAGUUCGUCCAGGAAGCAUUCGAUGGCCCCUGCGUGCUUGCACGCUCGGGUUGUCCUCUCUCGUACUAACGACAUUCCGUCAUCUGCCAUCUUGCACAUUGCUACUACACAUUCGUAGACCCCAACGCCCCAAACAUCCCAAAAACACAACACCCUGUCAAAUUCUCUAAGUGGCAAGGUGAGGUUUGUCACACACUAACUCAGCUGUCGGCCACACAUUCUACUUGUUGCCGUACUAGCUCCUCUGUUGGAGCCCACUACCUGGGCAAGAUGCUGCCAUAUGUCUAGCCUCUGGUACUACCACCUCGUUCCCUUGUUCCAUGCCGCCCCGUGUGAACAUUGAAGAGCCUGGCAGCCCUUCCUGAACAUCCCCCAUGUCCAGGUUCGGCAUCGCGGUACCUCGGAUCGAGCGCUUCGUUCCCUUUCUGGUUUCUUAGCACACGUUGCAGGGAUACGUACACAUGACCCUACAACCCCUACUUGCUGCCUGUUCCCCCCGGCCAGCAUUGCCUGGCGCUAGCGCUGGCCUCGCCUGAUGGAGCGCCCCACUCCCCCCAUAUGAGGGCGGCACGCGGAUGGCAGCAUCAUACAUCUGCUGCUGCAGAAGUCACCGCGAUGCCGGCGCUCAGCUCCUAUACCCACUACGCCCAAACAGGCCCACAGGUCGCCCUUACGACACACUGCCAGCGGCCCCUUGUUGGCCUCCACCUGCACGUGCACCCUUCAGUGCUUCAAUGGCCGCCUCCAACUGCUGUAUUUGGUCUUGGGCCGCCGCAAGCGCUCUCUUGACCGCCUCCGCAUCUGCCUUGGCCGCGGCCGUCUCCGCAUUUGCCUUGGCCUUGGCCGCAUUUGCCUUGGCCUUGGCCGCCUCCGCAUUUGCCUUGGCCGCAUUUGCCUUGGCCGUCUCCGCAUUUGCCUUGGCCUUGGCCGCAUUUGCCUUGGCCACCUCCGCAUCUGCCUUGGCCGCCUUCACUUUGGCCUCCGCUUUCACCAUCUCCUUGGCCACUGCCGCCUACGGACCGUAUUGCAAUUGUGGUGGGGGCCGUGUGAUGUGGUGUGUGUCUCUAUGUAAGUAAGAGCACGUAUUGUGCUGCCCGCCCACGUACACUUCAAUCCCGGACGCCAUUGCACUCUCUUUGCCGCCCGCCAGCGCACCAAUGAUUCAAAGGACUUUCUACGAGAUGCGGCUGCAUCAGCCGGCCAGCUCUCCCACGUUCUGCAUACGCAUGUCGUGCUUGUUGCACCUCCGUCCCUCAGCCCUCACCUUCCGCCGUUCCUCCGCGUCACGCACCCACUGCUCCGCCCGGGUCUGCAGUGCGCCUCGGCUCUUCUCCAUACGGCCCGGCAAGUCUGCAAGCUCCUCCUUGGUGUAGAUGAUGUGGUGCAGCACCGCCAGCAGCUGCGUGCAUGAGCAACAUGGUACAGGCGGUUGGGCGGUCGGAAGGGGAGGUAGCCAUGAUACGGUACUUGCAACUGGCCCGCGCCGAUCUCAGAGACGCACCUGCAGGUAGCUGUCACUUGGUUGGUCGAGGCUGAUGUGAAUGGUGUCCAUCUGUUACAUCAAAGGGCGUUCACACGGCAAGAGCGGGGGUGUUGGGUUGGUCUUCAUGGAAUGGUACGUAGUCAGCCCGGAGGCGGGAUACAGCGGAACACUCGCAGCUCUACAAGGAUGCUUGGAAAAGCGGUACAGCAUGCACUGAAGACUGCAGACGAAGUUGUUACCAAGGGGGGGAUCAUAAACCAGCCCAGAGAGCACGGAGGAUCGGCGUCAAUCGUUCUCUUGGAUGGACGCCAUUGAGCCUGGUUCAACUGGUCGGUAGACAGCCGACCGUUGCGAGUCACCCAAACUCACAGCGCGCGUGUACACAGCCCUAAGCAAUAUGUGAGGCGUGACGCAUUGUACUACUCGCCUGUGACGACCAGAGCGGUACCGGCGCCACAUCGAAACGAACCGCCGGUAUCACGAGGACAUGCGGGGGUGCACGGGUGAAACGUGAGAUGAGAACAAGCGACAGCAGAUAAGCAACAUCAGCUAUGAAGUCUGAGUCUUGCACGCGCGAGCCUGCUGGUGUCUAAAGAGGGCCAUCAAGUGAGGCGGGGCCGUGUUACGUUGGCUUCGCAUUGGCGGUUACCAGACCGGAUCCACAGCAAAGUAGCAAGGGCACACGCGAUGGCAGGGGGAGGAAUGCUGCGCCCCACCAUCCGGCGGCGUAUGCAUUACCAACUAAAUGUGUGCACAGCCUCAUAACCUUACAAGGGAAUUACGGUAUACCAGCCAAGCGGGUUCAUGGUCAUAUUGGCGUCAUUUAAACAAAAGCGCACCCGCUUGAACGAGUAUCGUGAUCCCAACGCCGCCGCCGCCCCGCCCGCCGCCGCCGCAGUUGCCGUUGCUGUCGGCGCGCGCGCUGCUGCCGCCGCGUUUUUCAAUGCUGCCACCGCCGCCACCGCCGCCGCGCCCGCUGCUGCCGCCGCAUUUCCUAAUGCCGCCGUGGCCGCAGCCGCAGCCGCGCCUGCUGCUGGCGCCGCGUUUCCUACUGCCUCCGUGGCCGCCACCGCCGCCGCGCCCGCUGCUGCCGCCGCGUUUCCUAAUGCCGCCGUGGCCGCCACCGCCGCCGCGCCCCCUGCUGCUGCCGCGUUUCCUGAUGCCGCGCCGUGGACCGCGGCAGCAGUCGCCUUGGUGCACCGCAGUCGCGUUACGCGUACGAAGUCCCAAGUCUCGAUGUCCGUCAGGAUUACCCUGGCCGUUUACAGGAGCCAGGCGCAAGGUAGGUGUGUGGACGGACAGGAGGGACACUGCUGGGAAUAGAGCCCAUGGCACGCACUGUUGACAGCGUUGCGCUACUCGUCACGCCGGCUUUAGAAUCGAGGCACGCAACCCAACUCGUUAUGCCGGGCUUACAUGUGUACACAUCGAGGGGAUGAAAGCGCAUACGACCGCGCACAACUCACCACAUCUCCGGCUGGGAGGGGACCUUCUUCAUCAGCUCGAGCGCGCAUGCUAGCGGCUGCCAGAUAUGCUGUCUAAAGACUGCUUUCGCCUUCACCUCGGCCACGAGCAAAGGAGUUAAGCCGUCUGACAAACCGACGGAUUCAAGGCCCUCCUCAAUGGGUAGCGCGGUGUUGCCAGGAGCAUGCACGAGUACAUACUCCGAUCUGCCUACGGUUACAGGAAGAAGGGAGUUUGGGUUUUGCACAUCUAUCCCCGUCUCGGAUCAUUAGAUCGACUACAGCGUACCAACAACGCGCCGGACAAAGUAGACAAAACGAUUGGCACACGCACGAGAACGCGGCGACUUCCCGAUCUGCUUCCCCAGACCCUGCCACUCACCGCCGACCGCCCCGCCAGUCAGAGCUGCCUCGUACCCCUGGAUGGUGUGCGAGGCAGCCGCGGCCGGCGUGUCCUCCGCUGUGUCCGGCUCGCCCUCCUGCUCGCCCUCCUCCUCGCCCUCCUCCUCGUCGCCCUCCAGCUCGCCCUCCGGGGCACCCGAAAGCACGCAGACCCUCCUCUUAACACCAUCGCCCACUUGCAAUGCCAGCAGGUUCUUCAGAAUCUCCCAGAACUGGCGGGGGUAGGGAAUCAGGUAAGGACGUGUCAAGCUAGCGGAAGCGUGCAGAGCCAUGCGCACGCCGGCACGCUCUACCUGCAGGUGGCGUGGCGCCUCCACAUGCAGCGGCUGUAGCACGUAUGAUUUGGCUACAAAGUGGUCCAUGAGAAUGGGAAUUAAAAGUGAGUCGGGACGCUGCAGCCAUAAAUCGUUUGGAAAUGGGCAAUGAGGCCUCAGGCGUUCUAGCGCCCUAGGCCCCAGCUCAGCGUCGUAAGUUUGUUUGAACAGGGCUUCUGUCAUCUCGGAAGAGCGUUUGUGUCUGGUGCUUCUGCCAUCCUCGAAACUAGGAGACGCUCUGCGUUUUGACAUGUUUUGCACAGUCACAGAAUGCUUCUUGGUGAAAGGGGUUUCUGAUGAAUAUCAGAUAAGUCAACGGGCAAGAAAUGAAGACAGCGAGUGAAAAACAGUGGCACGUAUUGCCGUAGAUUGAGGCCAAGCACAUAGUACAAAGUUGGUUUAGCUAAUAGGCUCUGUGUGGGAGCAGCUGACAUCGACUGGCGUGCCGGUUCCGGCCCACCCAGCUCGCCAGCCUGCACAUGUUCACGCUGUAUGUACCGCCGCUGGCAGCCGCCUAGCCUGGCGGCAAAGGGGAGAUCCCCUGGGCGUCCAUAGUCGGUAUCCUGGAUGGCGAGGCGCUGGAGGCUCGGCCCGACCUGCUUACGGGCCUGCAGGUGCCGCUGGUCAGCAUGGACCUGCAGACGCCGGCGUCGCGCGAGGGUGCGCCCACGAUACCUAGGGUUGCCGCUGGCUGUGCACCGGUUCGGCGAUGAGGGCAGCUGCGUGGCGGCACCCGAGGGCGAGUGAGGGAACGCGUAACGACAGACAGCUGGUGCUGUGCGGUGCUGUGCGCCUCUGUUGCAUGUGAGCGGCGAGCUGCGUGGUCUGGCGGUGGAAUAAUGUUGCCAGGGGUCUGCCUUCCUGAAUGUUGCAUGUGCCCAGAAGUGCGUGAUAUGUGUGUCAGCAGGCUUCAGGCCGCCGUUUGAAGUCCCGCAGGGAAGCAGCAUUAAGGUCCGCUGCAGCCCUCCUCAGCGUCUGUCGGCUGCUGGAGCCGGGCCACAGCUGCACGGCCGCAACUUCAGCCACAUGCUGGGCCUACAAGGGCACUACAAGGACGGGUUCGUGCGCUACGCAUGCUUUCUGUGCGCUACGCAUGCGUCUAGGACUGGACUCAUGCGUGCCAGAACGCAAGAGAGACGCAUGAAUGGCUGGGCAUCGGGGGAGCCGUGGGGAGCGCAUGGCUGUGCACAUCCGGGGCGCAUGCAGACGCAUGCGCACGACCCUGACGCAAGCACUGAGAAACGCACGUACUACUGUUAUUACAUAGUCAUAGACAGCAAGCACGCCUCACUCGCUCGAGGUUCGCGUGAUCGCCGUGCACUCCAACAGACCCUGCUAUAUGAUGCAAUGCGUAAAGCAUAACGAGCAACGUAAGUAGGCUAACAGGCCUUGCAAAGGAUUCACUCGGACAUAAACUUUAGUCUUUACACGGUUCGAGCCUAAACGAGUGAACGCAUAUGUAACGUAUGAUAUGCUGUAACAUCUGGGCGUCGCACCAAGCAACCGGCAUGGAGGCUGUGGCCGUCGCGGCUGCCUGCCAAGGGCGGGGGUCGUGUGGCAUGUAGAGUGCUGGCUAGUGCCCCAGCAGACCCGCCGGUCCCCCAGCCCUCAACGGGCGUGAGCUCUUCAUUCAAACCUUGAUAAGUUGGAGAUAGGUCUGCAGCUGCUAGCCGUGUAUUACAUUGUAGUUGCAGCAAGGAGGACAUAGCGCAUAGACGAUGAGGUGUUCGUGUUCGCCACCGCCAACCAGCGGUCGGCGCCCAGUUCUGAUGGCAAGUGCUAAAGGCCGCGGUCGGCGGGUCGUGCUGUGUCAGGAACAGGACAGGGCGGUUACGAACAGUGUGACGAGCGACGACCAGCAGGGCCGCAUCCUUGAAGUGCUGACCAGAUUGGAGGGAAAGCUGGAUGCACUGGUGCGACAGCAGGCCGAACUGGUGCGAGAGCAGGGCGCACUGGUGCGCGGGCAGGCCGCAGUGACGCGCGGGCAGGCCGCAAUCACGGAGCUGCGAGUCAUACAGAACCUUCCAGCCGGCCUUUGUGGGUGCAAGCGAGCGCGCAUUACGACGGCCGCCCAACUGGACAAGCUCCUCGGCCCAGGCACGGCCGCGGCGGUGGAACGUGAGUUGCUGGGCAGUGCCGAGCGCUGCUACCUGGCACUGCGCGCGCUGCUGUGGGCCGCGGCACGUGAGCUGGACCGCGUGUCCAAGCAAGCAUCGGCGAAGGAGGCUGCUGGGCAGGUGGCAACGGAAGUCGAAUCCCUCAAGGUAGAUUGUGCACGUGUGCUGUUCGACUUCACCAAGUUGUGUGUGUAUGUGUGUAUGUGUGUAUGUGUGUAUGUGUGUGUGUGUGCGUACCGUGUGUGUGUGUGUGUAUGUGUGCGCGCGCGCGUGUGUAUAGGGGUGUGCGUAGAUGUGUGUGUAGGUGUGUGUGUAGAUGUAUAGGUGUGUGAGAGCGAGAGGUGGGUGUAGUCAGGUGCGUUAGUCAGGUGCGUGCUGUUGUUGUUGUUGGUGUAGUCAGGUGCGUUAGUCAGGUGCGUGCUGUUGUUGUUGUUGGUGUAGAUGUAUGUGCAGCUGUUGGUGUAGAUGUAUGUGCAGCUGUUGCUGCUGCUGGUGCAUGUUGCCGGUGAGACCUAGAAGGGCGUGCCGUACUAGGGGUGGGUGGGCUCUUCCUCCGAUGGGUAUUGUUUACUUAGCAGGUGCUUGCUUGAGUCUGUGCGUGCGCGCGUGCGCACGUGCAUGUGUGCGUGCCGGGUGCAUGUGGGUGCGCCCUAUUUCGUUAUCUGCUGAGCUUGUGCUAAUCAACAACGCACGUGUACAGGAGGAGCUGUUGAGCGCUGCUGCCGCGGAGUGCAACCCGGACCCCGACGUGGUGUGGGAUUUCCUGCAGCGGACCCAGGACGUGCUGGUUGCUGCCGGCGGGCUGAAGGAGACCCAGGACGAGGACUGCCGCCAGCAGGGCUUGUCGCAGCGGCUAAAUGCCGCCUUCGUGCUUGUGCGCCGUGUUGGUGAGUUGGGGGCUCGCGGUGCUAGUGGCCCGCGAGGGGAGGCAGCCCAACCCUAGGGUGCAGCCGUGUGGCGGUUUGCCGGAUGAGUCAGACUGCCAGGUACGAGGUUGCAAGGGGCUGCCGCCUGUCUGUGUGGCGCGCUUCCGAGCGCCUGCUUUGUUAACCACACGCGCCAUAAGUCUUCCCCCACUACCGGUGCCAGACAGCAUAGCUGUAUCGCGUGUGAAGCACCCGCAGCCAGCAACAGCGUCAGCCGAGCCAAAACCUCAACAGGUUAUGAGCCCCGCGCCGCGAUAACCCGCGCGCGGUCGGCCGCUUAGCUAGCAAGGUAGUAUGGGGGACUAUAGUGGAGUAAUGUUGUUAGAGGACGCGUCAAACUACUUUGCGUGGCGUCGCAGCCUGCUGGACCACCUGAACUCCCGGCGUGUGCCUCUCGGAGAAUAUCUCUUCGCCUACGCUCCGACGACGCCUCGCACGGCGCGCGAGCUGGCUGAUGAGAGUGCUGCAGCCGUCAGUUUGCUGCGCAUGUCCUGCAGUGAGGGCGUUGCGCAGCAACUCGCACUCGCUGAGCACGCCUACGAGGCGCACGCCUACGUCAUCCAGCUGUUCCGCCAGUCAGCGCCGCUGAAACUGGCGCAGUUCGAGUCAGAGCGCGAUGAGUUCUGCCUGCGAGAGGGCGAGACCAUUGCCUCUUACUUCCGUCGCGCCAGUGACCUGCGGGACCGCAUCGGCGCGGUCGGCGGCUCGUGGACCGACCAGCAGGUGCGGCUCAAACUGCUGGCCGGUCUGCCCAAGCCGCGCUGGGAGAACAUCUGCGACAUCUGCUACGCCUCUCCAGGCCAGACCCUGCAGCAGCUUUGCGGUUAUUUAAUGGAGCAGGAGUUCAUUAAGAACCAGGAGCAGGCGCGCAGCGGGCACGUCGGCGCCGUCAACCGCAGCGGCGGCCGCGCCGGUGCCGCCGGCAGUGCCGGCGGCGGCCCAGGCGGCGGCGCCGCUAGCAACAGCGCCAUUAUCUGCCACUACUGCGAGCAGCCUGGCCACAUUCGGUCCCACUGCCGCGUGCGCCUGGCCGAUAUUGCGGCCGGCAUCUUCCGCGCUGACAUCCGCUCGCCGCCCCAGCUGAAGCAGUCCGGCGGCGGCGGUGGUGGCGGCGGUGGAGGCGGCAGUGGUGGCGGUGGUGGCGGCGGUGCCGGCGGCCCCAAAGGUGGCGACAGCGGAGGAGGUAAGAAGCGCGGUGGGCGGAGCGGCGGGAGCAGGGGUGCCUUGGGUGGCGCCGGCACUGCCGUCUCCAAGACUGCGCACGUGCUGGUUGUGCGGAGUGUUGAGGACUGGGCCGUGCCUGACGCCGGCAGCAGUCUAAUCGUCCGCACCUAUGGCGCCGAGUCGGCUGGCUCGGGCGUCAGCAGUGGCUACGGCACGGCCGACGGCGGCAUGCCCAGCUCCGGUGUGGUGGAGGGCCACGCCGGUGGCAGUAGCACCAGCACUUACUGCUACAGCGCGGCCGUCAGCGGCUCUCGCAGCAGUAGCCCCAUCGGCAGCGCCCCGCCUCCCCUGGGCGGUGGCUGCAGCCUGAUCAACAUGGUCCGCGCGGCGUUCCGGCGCCUUCGCAGCGGACCCAACAGCAGCAGCGCAGGAGCAGGAGUCUCCAGCAGCAGCAGCGGCAGUGCCGGGCUUGCGAGUUCCGGCGGCCGCUCGAGUGUCGUCUGCAAUAGCGGAGACACCGUGCUGUAUCCCUCCAGCAGCAGCAGCGUCGGGGUGGUGGCGAACGGCAGCGUCAGCGGCAGCCCCAGUAGCGCCGCCGCCGCCAGUGGUGUGCCGGUGGUGGAUUCCGGCACCUUUGCCCAUAUCACGCCGCUGCGUCAGCUGCUUCACAACUUCACGCCCCGCUCGAGGGUGAGGCAAGUGCUGUGGGGGGAUGGCCACAGCAGCCCGGUCGGGGGAUCGGGCACUCUCCGGAUGCUCUCUGGGCGGCAGCGUGUUGAUGUGACGGGUGUGCUGUAUGUGCCAGCCGCCCAGCUCUCCCUGCUAUCUGUGCGCCGGCUGAUGGCCAGCGGCGUGAAGGUAGUGUUCGAGGGGGAGACAGUGACCUUAGCGCAGGGUGGCCGCAACCUCCUCAGCGGCCGCCUGCGCGAUGGUCUGUUCCCACUGUCUGUUACCAUGCUGCCCGUCGCGCUGGCAGCGCCCGCCGUGGCGCCGCCGGCUGCCGGCGGCGGCCCCGCCGCGCCUCCGGGCGGCGGCGGUGGUGCCGCCGCCAACGGCAGUAACACCGGUGUACACCCCAAUCCCGCCGCCGCGCUUUCGGGCCGCGGCGGCACCACCAGCAGCAGCAGCCUCAACGGCUCCGGCACUAUGAGCAGUAGCAGCAGCAUUGGUGCGGCCGCGCCUUCGGGCGGCGGCGGCGCCAGCAGCAGCACCAGCUCGCCGGCGGCUUCUCUGGGCGCUGCGCUCCGUCUGCACCGCCGGUUCGGCCAUCUCAGCUGGACUGCGCUGAUGCAGAUGGUGGGUGGGUCCCUUGUCACCGGCCUGGAUGUUGACCUGUGCGCAUUUAGCCAGGCAGCCGGGUCGGUGUGCAGCACCUGCAUUGAGGCCAAGGCGGCCUCUCUGCCCUUCCCGAACAGCAGCAACGAGCCGCCACAGCCUCUGGCUCUGGCGCACUCUGACGUGUGCGGCCCUAUGCCCACCCUGGGCCGUGGUGGCGCACGCUACUUCAUCACGCUGCUUGACGCCGCCACCGGCCUAUCAGCUGUUCGGUUGCUGCCCACCAGGGACCACGCUGGUGCAGCGCUGCAGGAGAUGAUUGCGCAGUUCGAGAGUCACUGCCGCGAUGGCGGCAAGCUGCGCAUCCUCCGCAGCGACAACGGCGGCGAGUACCACGCUGAGCAGCUGGAGCAGUGGCUGCGUGAACGCAGCACCGCGCACCAGUUCAGCGCACCGUACACGCCGCAGCAGAACGGUGCGGCCGAGCGGCUCAACCGCACCCUGAUGGAGCGCACCCGCGCCCUGCUGUUUGAGGCUGUGCUCCCCCCCAGCUUCUGGCCUGAAGCUGUGGUGCACGCCUGCCAUGUGCGCAACUUAAGUCCCUCCACCAGCUGCAGCAGCACGCCGUGGGAGGCCUUCACCGGCAACAAGCCUAACGUUGCCGACCUGCGCAUCUUCGGCUGCCGCGUCUAUGUCACCAAACCCGCCGACAGCCGCUCCAAGCUCAGCCCGCAUGCCGACAUCGGCACGUACCUGGGCCUGCAGCGCAGCUCCGCCGCAUCUCGCGUGCUGGUCGGCGGCAAAGUGGUGGUGAGCCGGGACAUAGAGUUCGAUGAGGAUGUACGGGGUCCGGCGUCGCGGCUGGCGGGCACACCGUUCGGGGUAACGGCGGAUGCGAGUGGUGGUGGUGGUGGCAGUAGCAGUGCUGCAACGCCCUCGGCCGGCGCUGGCACGGCGCCUCCCCAGGCGCCGGCGGCGCCGGCCAACGGCACACCUCCCCCCACUACGCUGCCGGCGCCUCCCCAGGCGCCGGCAGCCGGGCCCUCACGGCCCGCCACCCGCAGUCAACGCCCCUCACUAACGCCGGCCCUCGGCGCCGUCAGUGAGCCUCCGCUGUCGGCUGCCGCAUCCGCGGCGGCGGGCGGCGGGGGUGGCAGCAGUAGCAGCGCCGCCUCGGCUGCAGCAGCGGCCGCUCAGCUGUUUGAUAGCGACAGCGACGACGAGACGCCGGCGCUGGCGCCAGCCUCAGAUGAUGAGGACAGCUACAGCAGCAGCGCUGCGAUGACUGCGGCUGCGGACACCGGCGACCCCCGCAGCUAUUCGGAGGCCAUUAACGGACCACAAGCUGCGGAGUGGCGCGCCGCUAUGGAGGAGGAGAUGAAGGCUCAACGCGCACACGGCACCUGGCAGCUAGCGGAGCCGCCCCCAGGCGCGCGUCUGCUGGCCAAUCGCUGGGUCUUCAAGACCAAGACGCAGCCUGAUGGCACCCGGCGCUUCAAGGCGCGCCUGGUGGUCAAGGGCUUUGCGCAGCGGAAGGGCCUUGACUUUGACGAGGUGUUCGCCCCCACCAGCCGCUACGCCGCGCUGCGGGCCCUUCUCGCCAUAGCUGUCCGGCGUCACCUGCUGCUGCACCAGAUGGACUUCAAAACAGCCUUCCUCAACGGCGACCUCGAUGAGGUUCUGUGGAUGCAGCAGCCGCAGGGGUUUGAGACCAGUGACAGCGGCAGCGACGGCAGCGGCGGCGGCGGUGAAGGUGCCAGCGGCGGCAGCGGCGCAGACAGCGGCGGCGCAGGCCGCCUCAGUCAGCGGCCGCUGGCGUGCCGCCUGCUGAAGUCCGUGUACGGGCUGAAGCAGGCGCCGCGCUGCUGGUACCGCAAGCUCAGCGAGAAGCUGGGUGAGCUGGGCUUUACGCCGGCCACGGCGGACCCGGCGCUCUUCGUGCGGCAGGACGAGGCGGGUCUGGUCUACGUGCUGGUGCACGUGGACGACCUGUUAGUUGCUGCCGGCUGCCCCGUGCAGCUGGCGGCCGUCAAGUCCGCCAUCGGCGCCUGCUUCGAGGUGCGGGACCUGGGAGAGGCCAGCACCUAUCUGGGGAUGCAGAUCAACUGGGAUCCCAGCACUGGUGAGAUUCUGCUGUUGCAGCGCCGGUAUAUCGCGGAGCUGCUGCAGCGGCAUCACAUGAUGGACGCCAAGCCGCGCAGCCUGCCCCUGCCGCCCGGCACGCGAGUGCUGGCGGCCAGUGAGCAGCAGCCAGCGCUGACUGACGGCAGCGAGUACCGCUCGCUGGUAGGCGCCCUCAACUACCUCGCCACCUGCACCCGGCCUGACAUUGCCUACGCGCUGAGCCUACUCGCACGGCAUAUGGCAGCGCCGACCAAGGUGCACUUCACGCUGGCGGUAGGCGUGCUGCGCUACCUGAAACACACCGCCGCCAUGGGCCUGCGCUUUCGGGCGGCGGCCGGCGGCGGCGGUGGCGGACAUGGUGGUGGCGGAGGCGGUGGCGGCGGUGCUGGCGGCGGCGGCGGUGACGGCUCCUUUCUCGGCUACUGCGAUGCCGACUGGGCCGGAGAUCCGCUGACUCGCCGCUCGCAGACCGCCCUUCUCUUCAGCCUGUACGGGACGGCGGUGACCUGGUGCAGCCAGCGGCAGCACACCGUCGCCGCCUCCUCCGUGGAGGCUGAGUACCAGGCUGCGGCCGCAGCGACCAAAGAGGCGCUGUGGCUGCGCAAGUUGGCGGCUGACCUGGGCCUGAACGGCGGCGCCGUCACCAUCCGCUCCGACAGCCAGGGCGCUAUCAGCCUGGCGCGCAACCCCAUCUCCUCGUCGCCGCUGUCGAAGCAUAUCGACAUUCAGCACCAUCUGGUGCGCGAGCGCGUGGCGCGCGGCGAGGUGGCGGUGGAGUACUGCCCAACUGAGGAGAUGGUGGCGGACGCGCUGACGAAGGCCCUGCCGGAGGCCAAGUUCGCUUUCUGCCGCGCGGCGAUGGGCGUCAGCACCUAAUUAAAGGGUUCUGUCGAGGACAGAAGUUGCCGGGGCAACUUGUUAGCGAAGGGUACUGCAUUCUAGGCCCGGGACCUUAUUGGGUUCUGCCAGUGAGCAGCUAGAGACGUGCCGAGUGCAGACCUGAGAGAGAGACACCAACACGGUGCUCUGUUUGAGGGGGAGCAAACUGCUCCCGUACCCUGACUUGCCUGCUCCUGUCCUGAGUUAUCAGUUGGCUGCCAGACGGCGGUUUGCUGCAAGACCUGGUUUGGUCUGAGGGGGAGUGUUGGUGAGUUGGGGGCUCGCGGUGCUAGUGGCCCGCGAGGGGAGGCAGCCCAACCCUAGGGUGCAGCCGUGUGGCGGUUUGCCGGAUGAGUCAGACUGCCAGGUACGAGGUUGCAAGGGGCUGCCGCCUGUCUGUGUGGCGCGCUUCCGAGCGCCUGCUUUGUUAACCACACGCGCCAUAAGUCUUCCCCCACUACCGGUGCCAGACAGCAUAGCUGUAUCGCGUGUGAAGCACCCGCAGCCAGCAACAGCGUCAGCCGAGCCAAAACCUCAACACGCCGCAUCGCUGACCGCCUUGCUGGUGGCGGCGGCAGCAGCAGUGGUGGUUCUGACGGCGGGUCCCAGCUGGCACUGCUGCUUCUGUUCCUGAUGGCCACGGGCCGCCUGCGCAGCGAGCUGGAGCUGGAUGCCGUGCGGCUGCGGGUGCCCCCGUUCGUCGGCCCGCCGCAGCUCACGCUUGGGGCAAUCAAGAACGAUCUGGCGGGUGCGUCAGGACCUAUUGCGUGCGACAGUUUGGUUUUGGGGGCGCAGUAGACGUAUUUGUUCGCGAAGCUGUCAAGCCUCCGCCGGGGUGUGGGGGAGCAGGGUGGGCUGCCCGGGAGGGUGGAGGGCGCAGCAGAGGUUUUGCUUGAGGCGGGCUGGCUAGAUAUUUGCUGGUUGUGCAGGCUCCUUGAAGUAGCCCGGCCCAACCAGCAGCAGCCGCUGCUGCUAGGUGAAUAGAAUAGUGGUUUAUGGGAGCGUCUGUGUUCGCCGCUGGCGCCUGUUGGCCAGGAGCUAGAGGCAGCAUGCACUCAAGGUCGGCGAUUUGAGCGAGCUGCGGCUGCGGGUCCCGUAGGUCCGAGCCAUGCGUUCGGCUCUCCCCACUCCGCCGUACUGCGUGCAUGAUGCACGUGCCAUGACGCCCGCUCAGUUCCUCUCCUGCAAUGCUGCUACCAUGUACUGCCCGACCCCGCCUGCAUCGAAACCCACACCUCGGCCGACUCUCGCCUCCGCCCCUGCCACAGGAAUCAACAAGGCACGGGAGCAGCUGACAACGUCUGUGGCUGUGCUGGAGCUGGCGUGCCGGUUCCGGCCCACCCAGCUCGCCGGCCUGCAGGGCAUGUUCACGCCGCAUUGCCGCUGGCGGCCGCCUAGCCUGGCGGCACAGGCGUUCAUGGUCGGUAUCCUGGAUGGCGAGGCGCUGGAGGCUCGGCCCGACCUGCUUACGGACCUGCACGUGCCGCUGGUCAGCAUGGACCUGCAGACGCCGGCGUGGCGCGAGGGCGCGCCCACGAUAGGGUUGCCGCUGGCUGUGUACCGGUUCGGCGAUGAGGGCAGCUGCGUGGCGGCACCCGAGGGCGAGUGAGGGAACGCGUAACGACAGACAGCUGGUGCUGUGCGGUGCUGUGCGCCUCUGUUGCAUGUGAGCGGCGAGCUUGGUCUUUGCUGGUGGUGACGCGCAGCGGAAGCUUCGGUGCACUGAUGCAGUAGCGCCUUGGCGGCGGGUCGUGCGGUUUGGAUGUGCGGGCGGCGGCAAGCUGGGUGCGGGGUGGGGGUGGGUAUGUGCAGAGGGCAGGAAGGAAGCGUGCGAAUGACAACUCUAGGCAUUCACAGACCUCGGUUGCAGAAUGGGCACAUGCAUGGCACGCAGCUCACGGUUAUACGACGAACAUGCAGGGUUCCGCGCAACGCGGCAAGGGUGAAUACUUUCACACGCACAGGACUGUGCAAACCCGAUUCCCACGAGCUUCCUCCUGCCCUCCCCUGCUCGCCACAUUUGCCGACCGCGCCCCGCGCUCCUUGCCCCCGCGCUGAACCCUCCAGCCGCUCCGCCGCUGCCCCCCCCCCUCACACACACACGUACAUAUAUCACAUUCCCCAGCAGCGCAGGCCGAACAGCUGCGGUUUGCAUGCGUGGUGCGUGGCGCUGUUGCUGCUGCUGCUGGCGUAUGAGAUAGAGCCGCAGGCAGCUGUGGGGUAGGUGGGGUUGUAGCCAUUGGGGGCGAACAGCAACACACGGUCACAUCAGCAAACUUCCAGCCAGCCAGCAACUUGUCGGUACAGUAACUCCGGCGUUCGACCAGCCAUGCACUUCUGCUCUGCCGCUGCAAAUUGUUUGCCGUCUGCUUGGGGUAUGGGCGUCAGCUGCACCCUACGGGACCUCGCCAACCUGCCUAAACCCUGUCCCUUCGCACACACACGGUCACAUUGUACAAUCUGCGGCCUUUUCAGGUUCUCCUGGUCUCGGAGUUAGCGGGGCCCUCGGCCCCCCCCCCGGGAAGUUGUCGUUGCUGAGCAGCUGAGGCAAUAUGCUCCUGGCAGCAGGCGCAGCCGUACGGGCGGGCCCCAUAGCAGCCUAGCAGGUCUCGUGCCGCGGCAUACACAUCACACGGAUGAUGCAUGCACUGCUGGGGCAGCUAGCGUCGUGCCCCAUAUUGCCCCACUGUCAGACGGCGCGACUCGCACCUCCUGCUGACCCCGCGACUAGCAACCCCGCCCUAGCUAGCAAUGGUCCCCCUGUGCCCUUGCGACCUUGCGUGCCAUCCAACCCCGGCCUACCCAGGGAAACCCUGCAUUUGCUUGCACCCUAGCCAUACAUCCGCGCGUCCCACACCCCACCGGAUGAUCAGAAACAGGGCUCCAGGGGGGAACCCGGGAGAUGCCUGUAUCCGUACAUGGCCCAACACGCUCCAUCUCCAGCUUGCUUGCCCCGCGGACGUCGCCGGACCCGACCCCCGCUCUCGGGAGCGCCCACACAUACGUCACAGUAUGCUCCUCGUCCGAAUGCACGAGCGCGCAAUCCAAGCAGCACAGUAAUACACAUGAUGCAAAGUGCUGUGCAGUGCAACGCACCCUUCAGCUUACCCCGCACGCGACAGCACCCAGCGUGCAGUUCCCUGCUGCCACCACGCCCGCCGCCGCAGCCGCCGCCCCCGUCCCGCCGUCCCCAAGCAUCCCUCCUAUCGCCGCCGCCGCCGCCGCCCCCACGCCCGCCGCCACCGUGCCCGCCACGCCCGCGCCCGCCGCGGCAGCCGCCGCCGCCGCCUCUCCAACCGCCGCCGCCGCGCCGCCAACCGCCGCCGCCGCCUGCCGUAGCGCCAGCAGCGCGGGCCGUAUCCCCACGACGUAGUCAUGGUAAUACAGCAGUACGCACACGGGCUGGCCCACCACACAGAACGCGAUCCAGAAGAUGUAGUUGCCUGCGUGCCCGUGCAUGCACCACAAUCGUGAAGACGCAGCAGGCAUAUGUGCGUGUGUGUGUGGAGCGCGACGGCGGUCGGUGCGGACCGCGCAGUGGUCCGCAGUGUGGCGUCCGGCGGACUGGGUGGCAGCUGCUGUGUGUGUGCUGCAAUGAGCUACCCCCGCGGCCCCCCUUCCCCGACCCGGCCCAUGCACCCGCCCGCCCCCUCCCCGCUCGCCCCAAUCGCUCACCCAGCUCGUCUCUGUUGAGCUUCUUGCGCAGCAUCUCCGUCACCAUGAUCAGCGGCACCUGCGGGUGGUGCGUGGUGGGGGGCACGUGGGUGGGCGGGUGGGUGGAUGGGUGGAUGGGUGGGUGGGUGGGUGGGUGGAUAGGUAGGAGCAGGACGCAAGCGAGCGGUGCGGCUGUGCUCAUGCACCCGCCGGCAACACACGCACACAUCCGCCUCGUGCUCCCCAUUCCACCCAUUCACCACCCACCCACCCUCACUCACACGCGCCCACCGACACCCUCCUGCGCCCCUGCCCCGCACCACAUAUGCCCCACACCGCAACCUCCCUCCUCCCCUGCCCCCUGCCCCGCUGCCCGAUACCCCCCUGGGUUGGCAAAGGUUCAUUUUGGGAUUGGAUUGAUCCCUUGAACUCCCCGCUUCCACCUCCCACCCCCGGUCUUACCUGGAACAUGAUGCCUGCAAAGGCCCACAGCCGCACCAUGUGCAGCGGCACCCCCAGUAGCAGCUCGUGGAACACAGCCGACACGAAGAACGUGAGCAGGAUGGCAUUGAACCUGGGCAAGGAUGAUGAUGAUGAUGAUGAUGAGGGGUGGGGUGGGGUUUCAUUCAUGAUUAUUCAAGAAGGGAAGGGGUGGGAAGGGAAGGGGUGGAUGGGGGGGGAUACCAGCGCAAACUAAACCGGACCGAUGCAAAAGCGCGAGGAGGAGAGCGUGGCCUAUGCUCUGACAACGAAGUGGCAGUGGGGGAGGGGUUUGGGGCGGGGGUGGGGUGGGUGGUGGUGGUGAUUGCACCAUUCCCGACAAGAAGCCAGAGGCACGAGGGGGCGGGGGGGGGGGUGCGUGUGCGUGCCGGUGGUCGGGUUGGCAUGCUCGGAUGGGCGGCAGCAGUCACCUACGGCACACAGCGGGUCCCUCACUCCUUCUCCCACCACGCGCACCGCCCCUCUCCCGUCCGGCCCUCUCCUUGCUGGUCACCCCAAGGCACAGGGCUGAUACCUACACCCCCCUAUCGCUUGCAACUAACGCCUCUGCCUGUGCUCCGCUCGUCUUAGCUUGGUAUGGGUUAGUUUGGGCCGGUAUUCACAACCCCCCCCGCCCCCCCCCCCCAAACACACACACAGUGCAAUCACCACCCAUGAUUAGUACAAACCGUUCGCAUGAACGGCUCCCCCCGCCACCCGCCCCCACCCGCCCCCACCCCACCCUGCCCACCUGCUGCUGCCCGCCCGUAUGGCUGGGAAGUAGACGUGUCGCAGCAGCCACUUGUGCACGGGCAUGUUCCAAAGCUUCCAGUACUCGCCCACCGUAGCCGCAUUCCACCAGUCCUGAGGCGGCGAGGCGGGUGAGGUGUGUGUGAUAGCAGCAAGUGUGUGUGUGUGUGAUGUGAUGUGUGUGUGUGUGUGUGUGUGUGUGUGUGUGGGGUGGGUGGGGGGUGGGAGGGUUGAUGUUGGUGCACAAAACGUGCCUGUACUUGCGUAUUGCGCCCCUUAUGUCCAUCUGUAAUCCCGUCAUCAAGGUGUGCCACCCCCUCCCCUCCCCUCCCCCUCGCUGUUCUCCGUGCGCUGCGUCUUACAGCGCCUCAUGCUUGGUACCGGCAUCGCCGAAACCAGCGCCAUACCUUGCUGUCGAUAAUAAGGUACAAGCAACCUCCCUCUCUGUCCCUUCCCUUCCCCUUCCCUCCCUCCAUCCCCCGUCCCUCCUCCACCUUCCAUACCACCUCCCUCCCUCCCCCUUCCCUCCUCCCCCUUCCCUACCACCUCCUCCUCCCCCUUCCCUCCCCCUUCCCUUCCCUCCCUCCCCCUUCCGCGCACCUUGUAGAACUCGCGGUCGCCGAAGCGCGUCAGCUCUGCUAGCACGUUGAGCCAGAGGUGGAAGAGGCAGUAGAAGCCCAGCAGCCAGGCGUAGGUGGACGGCAGGGCCAGCUUCAGCACCCGCUCGGCCACUCGCGGCAGGUCCAGCUGGGGUGGCGGGCGGGGUGGUGGGUGGGAUGUGUGUGUGUGGGGGGCAUUCAUUCGUGAUUAUUUGAAAAGUGAAGGCGUAGCCAGGAACAGUAGGAUAGCAGGCGCGUUGUUGGGGUGGGUGGGUGGGCGUAUGGGUCGAGGUGGGAGCAAUUCAGCGCGACCUUCACUCGACACGCUCUCACAUCCCCCUCCUCGUUUCCCGCCCCAUCCGGCCCCUCCUCCAGACCUACUCGCCUUGUGUCGCGGGCAUUGCAGCCCCUCUUGCCUCCCCUGCCCCCAAGCCCUCUACCUCCCAGCCCUCCCCCGCCCCCGCCCUCCCCGCUCUCCCCCGCCCCCAGCCUCCCAGCCCUCCCCCGCCCCGAGCCCUCCCCGCUCUCCCCAGUCCCAGCCAACCCCAGCUCUCCCCCCCUCCACNNNNNNNNNNNNNNNNNNNNNNNNNNNNNNNNNNNNNNNNNNNNNNNNNNNNNNNNNNNNNNNNNNNNNNNNNNNNNNNNNNNNNNNNNNNNNNNNNNNNCCUCACCCCCUCUCACCCCCCCUCACCCCCUCUCACCCCCUCUCACCCCCUCUCACCCCCCCUCACCCCCCCUCACCCCCUCUCACCCCCUCUCACCCCCUCUCACCCCCUCUCACCCCCUCUCACCCCCUCUCACCCCCCCUCACCCCCCCUCACCCCCGCUCACCCCCUCUCACCCCCUCUCACCCCCUCUCACCCCCUCUCACCCCCUCUCACCCCCUCUCACCCCCUCUCAUCCCCUCUCACCCCCCCUCACCCCCUCUCACCCCCCCUCACCCCCUCUCACCCCCUCUCACCCCCCCUCACCCCCUCUCACCCCCUCUCACCCCCUCUCACCCCCUCUCACCCCCUCUCACCCCCUCUCACCCCCUCUCACCCCCUCUCAUCCCCUCUCACCCCCUCUCACCCCCUCUCAUCCCCUCUCACCCCCCUCUCACCCCCUCUCAUCCCCUCUCACCCCCUCUCACCAGCAGGGAGCCGCCGGAGUCAAACACACUGAAGGCCCAGAAGCGGCCCGCACGCAGCCCCUCCCACGCCACGAAACAGCUCUGUCGUACGAGGGCGGAGGGAGUGCAGGGCGGGGGGUGUUGUGAGGGGGGGGUGUUGCGGUGGUUGGGCGGCAUGCGGCAAUGCCGGCGUAGGCCGAGGGCUGGAGCGCAUUAAGUAGCAAGCCGAAACCCGCCAGCAGUGCCACCACCACACGCGCACGGAGACGCCCCGGUGUGCGUGUCGAGCCUCUCCUGUGUGCUCCCCAAACACACACGCCCCCACCCCCGCCCCACCCUCUCAACCCCUCACCCCCACCCCUCACCCCCUCACCCACCAGCACGCUGAUCUCGUCCCGCGGCGAGAAGGCCGUGUCCUUGGCGCUGCCGUACGCCGCCAGCCCCGUGCCGCGCAGCAGCACAUACCGCAGCCCCCACUCCGCCGCCGGGCCCCCCAGCCCCAGCGCCCCCAGCAGCGGCAGCCCCCCCGCGCUCCAUUUGUACAGGUACUCGCCGAGCCGGAUGGAGCGGGCGGCCAGCUGUGAAGGCGGGGGAGAGGUUUGGGAAGUUGGGGUGAGGGGGUGAGGGGGUGAGGGGGUGAUGGGAGCGAAAUAAGAAAAAGGCAGGCGGAUGGAUGGAGCGGGCGGCCAGCUGUUGAUUUUGGGGGGAGGGAGGGGGUGGAGGGGGGACAGGCCGCUGGAGCGGGCGAACAGCUAUUUGGGGGGGAGGGGGAGGGGAGAGGGGGUGAUGGGAGGGAGGAAAGGGGGGAGGAGGGGGUGGGGGUGGGGAGGGGCAGAUCGGGAAUGGAGGGGUGGGGGCGCGGUAGGCUUGCGGAAUGGCGUGGGUGGUAAGCAAUCGAGUCAGCAAGGGAGGAGGGUUGGGUUGGGGUGUGGGGUGGUGCGUGUGAGUGGUGCUGGGCGAUUUGCAACAUGCGUGCAGGUCAGGGGUGGGGGGCCCGCUGGGGGGCUUGGCGUCCAGGAGGGCGGAAGGCGAGGAGUCGCGUGCACGCCACGGCGUCAAAGUCAGCCGGCCUGACCCCGCCAUACAAGGCAAGCUGGGGUCGCUAGCGCAUUGUCAUGACGAAACCCAGGAGAGUACGGUGGGAGUUGUGGGAAAGGGGCCUAAAACCCGUGUUGCUCGUCGCGGGACAGCUGGGAGCACACGUCGGGGUGUUGCACCACACGUUCUCGGUGCGGCACAAGCGUUCCUGGCAGUGUGCGCACGUCGUUUGAUGCCCUCGUACACCACACACGUCUCAUCAUGCACCCGUUUGCGCGCAGAGGCAAAGCCGGAGCUGGGCCAAACAAUCUUGCCUCGGGUGGGCGUUAUGACUAUGUCAAAAUCCAAGCAACAGCAUCAGCACCAGCCCGCAUAAACUGUAUUUCCAUCUUAAGCUGUCAUUUAGCAUAUUUGGAAGCUCGCUGGCCCGUUUCCCGGCACAAACAUCUGCAAUCGAGAGUGUGCUCCUCACCUGCUCCUUGAGCUGCUCAUUUGCCACACGCAAAGUCUCGACUUCCUUCUGCAGCCGAAUGAGCUCCUGUUUGUCCGCGGCUGGCUCCUGAGGGCUCGUCCGAGUGCCCGCACGAGCCCUCCGCCCCCCAAAGAAGGGGAGCGGGAUAUUCACCAUAAGCUGAAAGCUUAGCAAAUAAUGUGUUGAAUUGAGAGAAUGCGCAGUUUGGGAACAGGGUUUCCUCGGUCCCGGGACAGACACAGACCGGCGCGCACUCCAAGAUACAGACCGGCAGAUUGCUUAAUAACUAUGUGUCCGUGUACUGUAGAUUAUAGGAAAUAUGCGGGUGGUGGUGGGGCUCGGGAUUGAAACAGGGGGGCCCGCGGGGAUGAACAGCCGAGAUUGCCGGAAGGGCCCACCACGGCUAAGACACGGCAGCCCAAUGCCAGCUUCGAGGAACGCGACACGUCCGCCGCGCCCACUGUCACCUUGAACUAUGGUAGUUUCCAACGAAUCAGCGAAACGCUGUGAGCUCCAGGUGCCCUGUUGGCGUUGGCGCUGCUCUCUGUCUCUGGGCAUCGGCACACGGUGUCACGCACGGUGUGAUCCUGCACUCACUCAACCCGGGGUGCCUCGGCCCCACCCCUAAAGCUAAGACGACAGUUCAGGCGACAAGAAGGGAGCUGAAGCUCGUUGCCUUUAGGUGUGCUCCCACCCAGCCUAAACUGCUGCCGUGACACAGCACGUCAUCUUGGGGCCAAAACCCUGCUUCAUCCGGGUGCCUCGAGGCGACGACGGCAUAUAGAUACUUUGCUAUUCUGCACGCCAUAAUAGCUCACUAAGUAUACACUCGAUAGAGGCCCCUUUCCAUAGACGAGCUGUCGACGAGAGCUGACACAUUUGCAACAACUUGUCAUACAAGUCCGCGGCACGUUGUUUAGAAGCGCGUACUGAUGCAGCGACGUGCAGUCACGGCGAUGGGCACUCGCUCAGUGCCCCCACCGCCUCCAGUAGCCUGCACCGUGGAUACCGGCUCUGAAUGGGCGCAAGCAGAAUUGAGCACAUACUUCAAAAGCCAUCCAGAGAAGCUUACACUGUUGCUUGAUCGAAUCUGUGUCCUGUUGCGAAACUGCUCGAAUGGCGACAUGGCCCCUUUUAUUACUGAGAUGGACACAAUGGUGAGUGCGCCGGCGCGGCUAGGGCUGCCCAGUGCCCACCGACGCCCCGUCUCUGCUCGCUGGGCCUUGGGGAAGAGCGCGGAACGGAAACAGUCCGUAAGGUCCCGUACAGCCUCCCAGUCGCCGGUCUGGACCGUUCCCACACACCCCUGCAUCACGAACUCUCAGUAACGCACGCGCACGCACACAUGCCGUAGAUCGAGACUUUGAAUGAGGACAUCGACGAGGAGCGGCGCGGCGUGGCGGGGCGCACCUCCCGCAUGGCCGACUACUCGGACGUCACAAACGACUUCCUACACGUGAGAGCCCCGCUGCCCUGAGUCAGGGUUGGCACCUGCGUGACGCAACCCCCGCUGCCCGGUGCCGUUCUCGAUGGCUGACAGCCGACUCGCGUGGUCGUGCUGAGGCUGCCGGGCUGAAGCACCGCCCUCGCGAGCGGAGAGCGGUGUGAGGUCAGGUGGCCGCCUAUGCGUUGCUGCGGGCGCUUGUGAGGCGGCAGGUCCUGCGCUGCCCACACACUUACCAGUUACCGUGCUUGCACAGUUCGACACCACCGCCCAACCUUGGUCCCGCCCUGCAGUUCUUCCUGGACGGCGUGAUGGACGCAAUGGAGAAGGAGCAGUCAGGGCUCGGGACGGGGGCGGGGGCGGGCGGGCCGGCGCUGCAGCCCAGCCGUCGCGUGAGCGCGCCCAUGGGCGGGAGCCUGCGUGCCAGCUCCGCCGCGCCGGCAUCAGCAGGCGGCGGCAGCGGCCGGUUCGCCUCGGCCCGGCGGUCGCAGCAGUAGAGCACAACCACGCGUUGUGCAUUGCGUGCAGAAAAUAGUAUCGUGGUAGAGAGCCGGUGUCGUGUGAGGGCGAGGCGUCUUUUAUUUGGUAAAGGUUAGCGUGUGUAGGCAGGUCUGCGUGCGUGCUGCCGGAAAUCGUUUGUAUGGCGGAGCGCGCACACAAGCUUUGGUAGGCGAGAAUACUUGCUAAGACUCCCGACGUUCUCCAUUCAUCCUGACACUGUGUUUUUGUGACGCUGGUGCCCGGACCACACAUGAGUAAACUUGGCUUGUUGACUGAUGGGCAUGUGAGCCCAGUCUGUUGCUGUUUCGCUUGCGUUUGCUGGUUUGCUUCAGUGCAUGUGCAUAGGCCCCCAGAUAGGCACGGAUGUUGUGCCCUUCAUCUGCAUCUACGACUCCUGCGGCUUAAUGACGAUUGGGGCCGCAGCACUGCAGCUGUAGGUGGUGAAGGCGCGAGUCCCCCGGGCCGCUCAGGCGCUCAAGAUACUCGAGGCUGUCGGCGUGGGGUUUGGUGGUGAGGCAAGGGGCGGGACGUUAACGCCCCCGAAUGGGUGUAUGUGACGCGAGUUCCGGCAGUUUAAGGAAGGCAGUCAAGGCGCCUAUGGCAUCUGAGGGCGUCAUCGGUAGCAUGACUGGUACACACGGGUCGACAGCGGACCGAGUACUGCAUUGCGGUGGAAUGGUGGAUGCACUGCCUCGCUGGCAGACCUGCAGAUGUUGCGGGAGCGCUGUUUCAAGUGCCGUUUGCCCGGCCACGAACCCAAUCAACCCAUGCAGCAGGGUGCGCUGCGGCGUGUGGGCGUGGCCCCAAGUGGUUGACCAGGGACAACCGCGGGUGCAUGCAGGCAGGGUGACCAGCUCGCCCAUAUAUUUCGUAAUCUGUGAUCAAGUAUGGCAGUAGGCUUGUGAAUUCGUCCAUGCAGUCUGUAGAAGAAUAGACGGUUGGCCCAGUGUGCGGUUCGAUUUGUGGAGGUUCAGGCGAAGGAUUAGCGCGAGGAUUCAGACGAGACAUGGCGUGUGCAGGUCGUCCCUCUGUUAAACGCAUGGUAAUCUGCGGCGGCCGUGUAUCGGUCUGGGCUAGAGUUAGACCACAGCUGUAAGAACAUGUGCGCACGCUCUUGCAGACUUGCAGAGCGGCACGGCUUCCGCCUCUCCACGAAUCUGACGCCCGUCUAAACCCCGCAUUGCUGACUGUCCCCCGCCUAGCCCGGCCUACGCGUUUGUCGCCUCUGCACCUAAGCUGUUAAUGUUGGCAAUCCAGGUAUCGCGUGUAGUGGAAGGGCGAGUCAUAGGAGGCGUUUACUUUCAAACCUUAAGGCGGAGGCGGCACCAAACGGCACCAGGGCCCAGGAAAGGCCUUUUGGAGCGCUGUCUUCCAGCGCCCUCUAGAUCAAAUGAGUACAACUUUGCUAGGGUAUACUGCGAGGUAUAUGAUGACCGGGAACUUUGCUCCUGUGCGUCCUCGAGCGCAGUCCGGUAGCGUGACAUGCUCUGGACAUGCUUGGUAGACACUGGUCCAUUUUUGGGGCGCACGGACCAAGCGCAAUGCCAAUUCACGCCUUCAACUUGUGCCUGCUGCCUAAUCCACCCAGCAAUCCUGCAGCUUGAAGGAAAUGGACGGCCGCUUCAUGCAGGAGGACUGUUCGGAAACUCGAUGAGGCCCUUCCAGGCCUCAGUUUGCAAAUUUGAAUUCAGUACUGUAACUAUUCACUUAUGAUAAAGCAUUUCCAGAACACCGCGCCGAACAACACGAGCACUCAAGGAGCUGCAGAGUUAGUUACAUAUUGAACAUAUGUGAACACAUGCUUAUCAGAGAUAAUUAAUCACAACUAGGAAGCGUACACGCGUUGACCGGAGUGGCAGUGACUUUGCUGCGCUGUGGCGCGCGAAGGCGCGCCAAAUGGAUACUCGGUCAUUUAUGAUACGAUAGCAGUGCACAACAGCUCUUCGAAGGAGCAGCAGGCUCGAGGACUCUGAGAAUGCCCUUCCGGGCCCUCUCCCUGUGCUCCUUCUGGCGUUGCCUGGGCGCUGGUACGUAAACGUGUGGCUAUGAAUAUAAAUUAAGGCUCAGCCAGUGACCCUGUCUGGGACCUUCGCUCGCGCUGCAGAUGCGCGAGUCAGCGUGGACGGCGAACAAAGCCGGACGGCCAAGGCUGGCAAGGCCGUCUGCGCUGCAGACGCUAAUGGCAAAGGGUAGGGUAGGGAUGGAGGCGUACUGCAAGUCACGGCGACCCCAAGGCCAAUAUUGACUGCGCCACAUGGACACACCAUGCUCACCCCUCUGUCCCACAAUCCUCCCCCCCCCCCCCCACACACACACAGCGCCCAUGCUGAGCCUGAUCUGGGUCACGACUCGGCGGCGUCGCACCUGGCCGGCGGGGGCCGCGGCGGCCAGGGCCAGGCCCAUGGCUUGGCGCUGGCCGCGACCCUGCCCCACCAGGAGCGCACGCUGCGGGCCCUGCUGCAGAAGGCCAAGAUGGUGCUGGCGCAGCAGAGCCAGCAGCAGCUGCCGCCACCUCCUCCGCCUGGACAGCUGUCAGCGGGGCAGCACCAGCAGCAGGGGGAGGGCGGCUUCGGCCUGACUCGGCACCUGGGGGACAGCGAGCUGGUCCGCAUCAACACGCAGCUGCAGGAGGCCACAGCGGGCCUGAGGCCGGGUGGGUGGCCCAGGUGGCUGGUCUGGUGUGGUCUGGGAUAAGGAAGGGAGGGGAAAGAGAUCACGGUCGGGUGGCUGUCACAGCGUGUGGCGAAUGCACGGCGCGUGCCGGUCGGGUGCACCGGAGGUGUGGCUGGCACCCGUCACCGGGCGCCUCCCCACCCCGACCCCUGAACCGAAUCCAACCCGCCCUAACACGGCAACCCCCUCCCUCGCCACAGACACCCGCACGCUGCUGCGAGUGGAGCUGCUGCUGUGUGACGCGCGGCGCUGGCUGGCCGGCUGCCCGGGCGGCGCCAGCCCCGCCGCCGCCACGGCGCUGCUUUACGUGGCGGGCGAGGGGCUGGCGCGCGCGGAACACUGCGUGCGCUCCGCCGGCCAGGUCCGCUUCUGGCGGCCAGACGCCGUGGCGGCCUUCACCGCGCUGCUGCAGCUGUACGGCGACGUCAUGACGCAGGCGGGCUGGGCGGCGGCGGCGGCGGCGGCGCAGCGGCAGGCGCAAGGACUGCAGGGGUUGCAGGGGCUGCAGGGGCAGGGGCAGCAGGGGAGAGUGGACUCGGCUCGGGAGCAGCAGGGGUCGGACCCGAGCGCCGGUCGCGCUCCGCAGCCCACCCCGCAGCCCACCCCGCAGCCCACCCCGCAGCCCACCCCGCAGCCUACUCCGCAGCCGCUGCCGCCGCAGCGGCACCCUCUGGUGUUCGCUGCUGCUGCGCUGCUGCUGCGGCCCGACUGGCUGGACCUGCUGAUGGAGGUGCUACAGCUCCUGCACUUCAGCGCCGACUACGCCGCCGCCGCCGCCGCCGCCGGGCGCGGGCUGCAGGAGGGUCUGGCGGCGGCGCUGCAGCUGUGGGGCUUCCUGACGGGGCUGGUGCGCUUCGCGGCGGGGCCGGCGGAGGCGGCGGCGGCGGCGGCGCUGCCGGGCUGCAUGCAGCGGCUGGGCGCGCUGCUGUCGCCGCCGGGGGGCGUGGCGCCUCGGCUGCUGGCGCUGCCGCUGCGUGAGGACACACUGGUGGCGCAGCUGCACGUGCUGUGGCUGCUGCAGGUGGGGGAGCGGGGGUCGUGUGGGGGGGUGGGGCUGUGUGGGAGGGUGGCUGGGCGGGUGGGGAGGGGCUGCGGUAGGGCUGUGUGGGGGGAAGAAGACAGAUGCAUGUGUGCAGGCGGUCAGAGCGGACCGGAUGGCGGUAUGGGUGCUGGUCAAUGCGGGUUUGGGCACGUGGUGUAUUCUGACGGCUGUGUUGCUCACCGCGCCACACACGUGCAGCGCCACUCGCCCACCACCUGCACCUCCGCGCCACCACCACCACCACCACCACCACCACCACCACCACCACCUCCAUCUCCAUCUCCAUCCCUCCCCCCCCCGUGCCUCUAUCCCUCCAUCCCUCCCCCCCAUCCGCGCCUCCCCUGCAGGUGCUGUACGACCUGCCUGACGUGCGGGUGCUGCACGACCCACUGCUGGCGGAGCACUACGUGGGCCUGCACCACAGCGCCAUGACGGCCGCCUACGAGGCAAGUGUGUGUGUGUGUGUGUGUGUGUGUGUGUGUGUGUGUGUGUGUGUGUGUGUGUGUGUGUGUGUGUGUGUGUGUGUGUGUGUGUGUGUGUGUGUGUGUGUGUGUGUGUGUGUGUGUGUGUGUGUGUGGCGGGGGGGGCGGGGUUGGCUGGAGGGGUGGAGGGGUGUCCCGUGCAUACUAGCAUACCAGCAUAUUGCUUGCACCCCCUCUCCGCAUCCACCGCCCUGCCCCGCCACCCACCGCCCCGCCCCGCUCCACCGCCGCCUUCACCAGGCCUCCGCCGCCGACCCCAAGUCCGCCUCCGCGGAGCUGUGCCGCAUCCACGCCACCCUACUGCGCAGCCUGGCGCGGCACCCGGGGCAGCCGGUGCGCGCCGCCUUCCGCCGCUGCCGCACCGUGGAGUGGCUGCUGGAGCAGAUGGGGCUGGAGAGCGCGCUGCUGCCGCAGGCGGCGGCGGAGGAAGAGGAGGACGCGGCGGGCGGAGGCGGAGGCGGAGGCGGUGGGGAUGGGGAUGGGGACGGGGGGUGUUCGGAAUCGGAGCUGGAGAGCAGUGAUGAGGGCGGGGAGGGGGACGGGGAGGGGUUGAGGAGCCCGUUGGGCUCGUCUGGCAGCAGGCCGCGCCGCAGCGGCGCGGAGACAGCGGCGGCCGCGGGCGAAGGCGGCACGGCGCGGGGUGCCGGCGCUGCAGGCGGCGGCGGCGCCGGAGGCGGCGCCGAGGGCGGCGGCAAGGACUUUGCGUUCACGUACGACCUGAAUGAGGACGUGGAGCGGCUGAUUGCGCUGGAGGACGCCCUGGGUAAAGAGGUGGCGCUGGAGGGGUUCGAGUACGACGACGAGGGAAGGCAGCUCAUGGCAGCCAGCGAGGCGCGGCAGGCGGCGGCGGCGGUGGAAGCCGCGGCGGCGGCGGCGGCGGCGGGGACGCCGACGGCGGGCAGCGAGGGCUUGUUCAGCGCGCGGACGGACUUUAGCUCGACUGUGGGUGGCGGCACGACACACCGGGGAGGAGCAGGAGGAGGCGGUGGGGGGGCGGGGAUACCUCGGCUGGUGCUGGCAGGCCUGCGCUGCGCCUCCGUGAGCAGCAUGCACGCCGCCGGCUCGGUGCGGAGCAUGGCUGGCGGCGGCGGCGGCAACUCCAUCUCUGGCGCCGCCGGCGGGAGCUCGACUGCGGGGGGCCGGCGGCUGGGCAGCGGCACGGGGCGUGUCAGCCACGCGGACAGCCACUGGGGCGGCAUCACCUCUACCAUGGGGGGUGAGGAGGACGACGAGGACGAUGAUGAUGACUGGGAUGUGCCGCUGCCCGGCGGCGAGGCCGCCACGCCGACGCUGGACCCGGCGGCGGCGGCGGAGCGCAUCGCGCGCUGGUCAACAACCAUUGCCGAGGUGCCGCUGCCGGCGCCGCUGCCGGCGCCGUCGAGCAGCGACGCGCCGCCGCCGGGGGCGCCCAGCGUGUUGGCGGCGGCGGCGGCAUACUCGGAGGUGGCGGGCGCAGCGGGCGGCGGCGCCGCCAGGAGCCUGCCGGGGUCGGGGCCCACAAUGGGCUCCGUGGCCGGCGGCAUCGGCACCGGCACGCAGCGCUCGGUCCGGUCCGACGGGCCGCGGACGGGCGCCGCAGGAGCUGCGGCGGCGGCAGCAGGCGGCGGCGGGGGCGCGGGCGGUACGGAUCCCGGCGUGGCGCCGCCGCUGCCGGGCCUGCGGCCGCUGGGCAGCCUGCUAGCACUUGGCCCCCAGCAGCACCACCCGGGGCCCGCGGGGGAGCUGCACAUCCUGGCGCCCUCGACCUCCCGACACGCGCUGCUGACCUCCGCCGCCGCCUCGCCGGCGGCGCCCGUGCCCGCCACCAUAGCCGCCGCCGCCGCGGCGGCCGCCGCCGCAGGCGGCGGCGGCGGCGGCGUCAGCGGGCGCGCGCUGCCGCCGCUGUCACGGCCGGUGGUGCCGCCGCUGCGCUUCGCCGCCGCCGGCGACGGGCUGCCGCCGCUGGCGUCGACGUCGUCGCGGCAGCCGCCCGCCAGCAGCUCGCGAGCCAUGAUGCUGCUGUCAGCCUCCAACCGCGCCGUCGCCGUCGGCGGCGCUGGCAGCGGCGGCGGCGGCUGGCCCUCUGGCGGCGGCCCGCCGCCGGCGCCGGCGCCGCCGCCUGCCGACCCCGCCACCCGCCUGUCGCUGCAGUCGCUCACGUCCGUGCGGCUGCACGCUGCCGCCGAAGGCGGCACCGGCGGCGGUGGCGGCGGCGGCGCUGGCGCCCCGGCGCCGCUCAUCCCGGCCCUCAACCUGUCCUCCCUGCGCCGCCGCGACGGCGGCGGCGGCGGGCCCUCCUCCUCCAGCGACACCGGCCGCACCGUGCCGCUGAUCUCCAUGAUCCGAGCCAACCCCGGCNNNNNNNNNNNNNNNNNNNNNNNNNNNNNNNNNNNNNNNNNNNNNNNNNNNNNNNNNNNNNNNNNNNNNNNNNNNNNNNNNNNNNNNNNNNNNNNNNNNNAGGGAGGGGUAGCUGUCCAUUAGUACGGCUAAUAGAGGGCUGUGACGCCAGCACGCGACCGCCCACCCACCCCACCUCCCGUUCCAUGCGCCGAUGCGCGCGGCCGCACCCUGCACACCCGCUAGGACCCUCUCACGUAAUCGGCAGCCGCCCCGCACGUUCCCACCCGUCCCUUUAUGCUGUACCCUUCCUGUCUUGCCCUAUCCAUCCCUUCUCGUCAUUCCAUCUCCUUCUUUACUUCUGUGCUUCUCACCGCCCCUCGCCAAACCAACCCAAUCCUCCGCCCCUCCCCGACCCCGCACCCCCCACACAGGCACGCUGGACACGGCCUACGUGACACAGCACCCGGGCGACGCCGGCCUGCCGCACGCAGAGCACGUGCUGCUGUGGCACCUCAACGCGCCGCGCAACGCCGGAGUAGUGCACGACCUGUGCCGCGGCGCGCAGCGCAGGGCGCGGCAGGCCAUCGCCUCCGCCGCCGCCUCGGCGGCGGCAGUAGCAGCGGCGGCAGUGGCAGUAGCAGCGCCGGCGACGGCAGUAGCAGGGGCAGGGGCGCCGGCGGCGGCAGCGGCUGGCGGCGGCAGUGGGGCCACAUCGUCUCGGGCGUCGUCGGCGCGCUCGGCGGCGGCGGGUGCCGGCGGGGCGGCGCCGCGGCCUGCCUGGGGGUCGUCAGCGCCCUCCGCGGGGCCCUCGCCCAACCCCGGCUCCCCCGCCCAACUGGCGACCUCCACCACCACCGCCACCACCACCACCACCGUUAUCACCGUUGCCCAGGCGGGCGCCACGUCCUCCCGAUCCGCAUCUGCAGCUGCUACUGCCGCAGCUACAGCCAGCGCCGCCGCCGCCGCCGCCGGCUCGCCUCGGCCGCAGCAGCCGCAGCCGCAGCCGCAGUUGUCGGCGGCUGCGAUCGCGGCGGCGGCGGCCACGCGGCCGUGCGGUGUGACGCGUGCGCUGCAGCUGCUGAGCCGCCCGCUGUUUGACGCCGGCCGCUAUACCAACCUGCAGUUCGUAACCCGGGGAGCGUACGGCAACAUCUACAGGGCACGCAUGGAGGUAGCAGUAGCAGCAGCGGCAGCAGCGCCGGCGGCGGCGGCGCCGGCGGCGGCGGCGCCCGGCGAAGCCGGCUUGUCACUGGUCCUGGCGGCAGUAGCAGCGGGUGCGGCGGCGGGUGCGGGUGCUACAGCCAGCCCCGCGGCGGCGGUUGCUACAGCCGGUUCGGGCGCGGUGCAGGUGGUGAUCAAGACGCUGCAGCUGCCGGGCAGUGUGUACGACAGCUGCGUGCUGGGGGACGUGUUCGGCGAGGUGGCGGUCAUGGAGCGGUUCAGAGGUGGGGGGGGGGGGGGUUGUAGAUACCAGCCCAAACUAAACCAAACCCAAUGCAAUAGAGCGAGGAGGAGAGCGUGGUCGAUGCUUGACAACGGAGUGGCACGCGACAAUGGGGUUAGGCGUGGGAUGCCCAGAGGCCAGAGGGAUGGGCGAGGCAUGGCACGCACACCUCGCGAUAUUUGCGACGUGCAUGGCCUGGAACAGCGUGGCGUUGUAGGGAGCGCUGCGUAUGGCCAUGGACUGAAACAGCCAUGCGCCCCACUCCCUCACGCGGCCCUCUGAACUCGUCACAUGCCCAAUCAGUCCCUCCCUCCCAUCGUGCACCUAUCAUCCCCUCCCAUCUCUCUGCCAUCUCACGCCUAUCUUUCAUAUCAUAUAUAAACACACACACACACACACACACACACACACCGUGGGCGGGCUUUCGUUUCGUUUUUUAACACACACACACACACACACACACACACACACACACACACACACACACACACACACACACAGGCCACGAGUGCAUCUGCCAGCUGCUGGACUACGGCAUGCACGACGACGCCUACUGGAUCGUCAUGCGCCGGUACCGCUGCUCCCUGGCCGAGUGGCGCCAGCGCCAGCGCCCCCUCUCACACGCCGCGGCCAUCGCCGCCACCGCAGCCUCCGGCGCCACCUCCGCGCCCGCCGCCAGCGGCUCCGCCGCCGCAGCGGCCGCCACGCCUGACGGCGUGGCGGCGGCCGCCGCCGGCGCCGCGGCGGCGGCGCGUGUGUACCUGUCGGCUCUGCUGCAGGUGGUGGAGGCGCUGGCGCUGCUGGCGUCGCACAACGUGGUGCACUUCGACCUCAAGUGCGCCAAUGUGCUCAUUGAGCCGCUGCCGGGCGUGCGCGACGGCGAGCUAUGGGCCCCGGUGGGAGCCGCGGCAGAAGCUGCUAGUGCUGGUGUUGGAAAUGGUGGUGGGGGGGGUGGCGCGGCGGCGGUGGUGCCGUUCCGCUGCGUGCUGGCGGACUUUGGCGAGGCGCGGUCUUACCGCAGUGCCGCCGAGGCCUUCACGGCUCGCAACCGCGGCACCGAGGUGUUCAAGAGCCCGGAGAUGCUCAUGCUCAACGCGCGCGGGGCAGGCGCCGGAGCGGCGGCAGCAGGAGCAGGAGCAGCAGCAGCAGGAGCAGGAGGGGGAGCAGCAGCAGCAGCAGGAGGGGGAGCAGCAGCAGCAGCAGGAGGGGGCGCGGGAGGGGGCCAGGGCGGCAGGCCGCAGCAGCUGCGGGUGCAGGCGCUGACGUCGCCCACCAAGGAUCCACGGGGCCAGGGCGGGCAGGGGGGCGGGCCCUCGGCGGGCUCCCUGGCACCCGAGCCCUCCGGCCCGCUGUUGUCGUGGCCCGCCGGCGCCGGGCCGCACACGCCUGCCCGCGGCCCCGGCCCGCCGCCGCCCAGCCACGCCAACUCAACAGUCUCCGCCGCGCCGGACGCGCGAUCGCCCUCGCGGCCCACAUCGGCCCCGCGCCGGCCGCAGUCAGCGCAGUCGGCACAGCCGCCGCCGCAGUCGCUGGCCGGCGCCGGCCUUGCAUCCGACAUCUGGUCACUCGGCUGCCUGGCCUUUGAGCUGCUCAGCGGAACCGUGCUUUUCGGCGGCGAUUACGCGUCAGUGACGCAUCGCGUGGCCUUUGGAUCCGGCGAGCGGCUGAGUCUGACGGAGGUGGAGCGGGCGCGCCUGGGCGGUCUGCCAGAGCUGGUGGAUCUGGUGGAAUGGAUCCUGGUCCGGGAUCCGACGCGGCGGCCGUCACUGGCCGCGAUCCGGGAGCGGGUGGAGGCGACGCGGGCGUCGCUGGCGGCGGCGGCGGCGGCGGUUGGCGGCGGCGGCGGCGGCGGCGGCGGUUGUUAGCAGUGCCGGUGGAUGGCGGCGCGGGCCAGUGAGAGGUGGAUAAGCGUUCAUGGGGAGCGCAGUGAUGAAAUCACAGGUAUGACGUGCCGACGUCCAGAACAGACGUGGAACAUCAUGGGAGGGUGUGGGGUUUGGGGGUGCGUUGAGGCUUGCUGGGAGGAAGGCAAGGGGUGGGUGGGUGCAUGCGCACAGCGGGCACUGCGGGAGCUCCGGGAGGAAGCGAAGGCAGGCAGGCAGCCACGGAGUUUUGAGCAUUGCCAACAUCCACUGCCGACAUGCCGCGGCGGUGCCUUGUGACGUGGCGCAGUUUCCAAUGGCGCGUGCGCAAAUGUGUGUGUGUGUGUGUGUGUGUGUGUGUGUGUGUGUGUGUGUGUGUGUGUGCGCAAAUGUGUGUGUGUGUGUGUGUGUGUGUGUGUGUGUGUGUGUGUGUGUGUGUGUGUGUGUGUGUGUGUGUGUGUGUGCGUGUGUGUGUGUGUGUGUGCGUGCGUGCGUGCGUGCGUGUGUGUGUGUGUGCGUGCGUGCGUGCGUGCGUGCGUGUGUGUGUGUGUGUGUGUGUGUGUGUGUGUGUGUGUGUGUGUGUGUGUGUGUGUGUGUGUGUGUCACGUCGCCAUUCGGACUCGCUGCUCUUGGACUCAAGCAUGCGUAACUCUUGCCGGUAGUUGCACGUGGCCGUGCGUGCAUGUGUUGUAUUGAUAUAUAUUGAUAAGCGUAUGUGGGUUGUGGGAUGGUUGCGUAUGCGGUUGUGUGUUACAAAGCACAAGGAAAAACCAUACGCGCUAAUGUGUGUGUGUGUUUGUAUGUGAUCCCAAUGCACCGACAUGUGCCGGUGACGGUAUGCGGCACGCCGCACAUUCAUGGACUCAUGGUGGUGUCGUACGGUAGGGCAGUGGGCGCUCGUGGCGUGCUUGGGAGUUGGGACCUGGCGGCGGCGCCCACGACACCACGACACGACGUGGGUACGGUACCGGGUGGCCGCGCCGCGGCCUGCCGCCGUGACGGUGGCGGGCGCUGGCCUUUCUUAAUGACGCCACACGGCGCGGACACGGAAGAAGUGUGUUUGCGUGUUUGGGAGCGAAGGCGGGUGUCGAAGAAACCAUUACUCCCUCGUGACGAGAGGCUGUAGCAGUGAAUGGCACGCACGCACGUGACAUGCUUCGUGAGGCGUGUGGCGUGGGAUAGCGACGUGGCUCAGCACGCAACUGCUCAUGCGCUGCUACAGCCUCGCUGCACAGCACCUGCAGCUGCAGCUGGCCGGGCGUGUGUGAUGUGACUUGUGGCCCAUGCAUCCAUGAGGGGUGGGGGGGCGUGGCCGUGGCCUUGGCUGCACCGAAUUGUUGACCGUGCCAGCGUGUGUGUUAAAUCAUCAAGCCAAAUAACCAUCAAGGUUAUGCGAUGCGGGGCUGUUACACGGCCCAAGCGCGACGAAUAGGUCACGGUAUUCAUGCGACGGGCAGUCAUCAAUUAGGGCAAUUUGCUCUGCGCUGCAAAUAUAAGCGCAGCAGCUGCUGCCGCACGGCUGCCGCCUGUGUCUCCUCUCGGGUCUGUCGGUGUCCUGUGCGCCGAGUUUUGGUGUUUUGUUGUCGCUUUGGAAGAACCCGACGGGCGCUUGUGCCCAGCACACGGAGUCGCGCCUCUGGCACGCACACGACGGAUGGUGACGGCGGAUUACUUUUAUGCGGCCGGUGGCAUGGCGUCGCGUGUGGAUGCCGUGUGGAUGCCGUGUGGCUCUGUGGAAGUGUGCAACCGGCCGGGAAGGCCCCGUGGACCCAGAGGCGGAGAACAGUUCUGAGGAUGUGAGGAUGGCAAGUGCGGCACGUGUACUGUAUGUAUGGGUGGGUGGCUGUACUAAUAUACGGAGUAAGCCUGUGUGAGUUCGAAUGCAGCAAACUGCAUCCAUUGGCGUGCUUUUAGGCAAGCCAAGUCACAUCGUAGGGCUUGAUGGCGUUGCGGUGGUGGUGAGUUACAGGGGUCAUGGACUUAUGGACUCAUGGUGUGCUGUUACUGGCAAAGAUGCCAAUUGCAGAAUCCGCAGCUCAGUUGCGCGAAGGCACAUCGUGCUGCGAUGUCCCACGCUGUGAUGUCAACAUCCCCGCGCAGACACCCGCGGCAUCUUGACUUUCUCCCAUGGCAUACCGCGCCACCAGCUGCCCCUGUUGCCUCGUCAGCGGCAAGCAUUCUGAUUGCGACAAGCACAUAUGCGAGGGCGCCAGCCUACUCGCAGCCGUCACCCGCCAUCGACACGGUGUACGGCAACCCUAGUGUCUUGACCACGUCAUCGACUGCCUGUCUUCAGUGCAGCUAGCUGUUUACAUUCCAAAACAGCCUGCCUGAACGUGUACUAUUUAAAAGGGCGCAGCAUUCUCUAUCAGCAAACAAAUCGAUUACACGUCCCCCAACUUCUUGGAUUGUUUACGUUCGCUUCGCAUGCGUAAAAUAUCGCCGCCAUAAGAAUGCUUACCCGAGUUGUGGCCGGCCUUAUGCGGGCCGGCCACACCGCGCCAUCGGUGCCUGCACUGCGCGGCCUUAUGUGCGGACGCACCGGAUCGGCACCACGAGCACCGCACAUAUGUAGCAGAGAAUUUUCGACUGCACCCAGCCCAGAGGAGCGGCCACCGUUCGCGGGCCAGCCGAUUAGUUCCACACAUCCCGAGCUGCUCGCGCCGGGGCAGCUGACCCCCGGCGUGACUGCCGCCGAGUACGCGGCCCGCCGGCGGCAGCUGUCAGAGCUGCUACCUCCUGGAUCCAUUGCCGUACUUCCCUCCGCCGCCACCACCUACAUGGCUGGCGUAAUCCCCUGGCCGUACCGCCAGGUGCGGGGGCUGGGGGGCAGGCGAUGGGGUUUGGCAGGGCGCAGGGCAGGCGAGGGGCUUUCGGGCGGUGGCGUGGCGGGAUGGAAAGGAAGGGGAGGGUGAGGGAUGCGAUCCGGGGGUGUGUGGGUGGGCAGUAAGGCAGCCUGCACGACACAGCAUACACGACGACGGCCCCUGGAAGACUUCCUGCGCGCGUCGUGUCGCCUCUCACCCCACCUCGCAACCGGCAGGCCGGUGCAACCAUCCCCUCUCCCUUACCUCCCCUCCCUCUUCCCGCCUCUUCCCACCCGCUGCCCACCCGGCCCCCACCCGCUUUCCACCCACCCUCCCAAACGCUUUCCGCCCGCUCCCCGCCCGCCCUCCCAACCGCCCUCCCUCCCGCCCUCCCGCUCCCCGCCCGCCCUCCCAACCGCCCUCCCUCCCGCCCUCCCGCUCCCGCCCUCCCGCUCCCGCCCUCCCAACCGCGCCCCCUCCCGCCCUCCCCCUCCCGCCCUCGCGCUCCCGCCCUCCCGCCCUCCCUCCCUCCCCCCCUGCCUCAGGACCCGGACUUCUACUACCUCACGGGUCUGCUGCAACACGGCCUGGCGGUCAUCACCGCGGCCCGAACACACGGUGGGCGGGUGGGGUGUGGAACUGUGGAUGGCGUGUGUGGGGUUGGAUGGGAAUUACCAGCCCAACCCAAGCCAAACCAAGCCACACUAGCGGGGUGGGGGUGGGAGCGGAGAAGACGCCGUACGUGGGCUGGGGGUGGGUUUGGUGGGUUUGGUGGGCGCUUCCCGGGCAAAUAACACUCGGGUUUGACCGGUGGGCAGGGGGUGGGCGGUCAUGGACCUCAGGCUGCAUGAGCUCCGGGUAGGUGGGCGGGUAGGGCAGGGCCGGCUUUGGGGUGGGCCACGCAGAAACCUGACUGCGCACACGGGUGCGUCUAUGUGGGUCUGUGACCAUGCUGGAAAACGCAACACAACGCAAAGGGUGCUGAUGCAAGCGUCCCGUGUAUGCGUGUAUUCAUGUACGCCUAUGUGCGCGUGUAUGUGUGUGGGUCAUGCAGGCGCUGAAAUCAGUGGUGGUGGUGGCGGCGGCGGCAAGUUCGUCCUGUUCAUCGACGCGCCCAACGCGCAGCGGGCCAAGUGGGACGGCGCGACCCUGAGCCGGGAGGUGGCGGCGGCCGAGUUCGGGGCGGACGAGGUGGCGUACAUGCACGAGGUAGGGAGAGGAGGAGUGGGGAGGAGGGGGAGUGGGGCGGGGAGGAGGAGUGGGGAAGGAGGAGUGGGGGAGGAGGAGAAAUGGGGAGAAGGCGGGUGGGAGGUGGGGAGAUAGGGAGAUAGGGAGGUGGGGAAGUAGGGAAAUAGGGACGUAGGGAAGUAGGGAAGUUGGGCGGUGGCGAGGUGGGGAGAACGGUUGAAGGUUCAAAGAGGGAGGGAGGAAGGAUGCGGAGGCGGGGAUUGUGGUUGCCACUCGCUGUCAGCAACGCGAAAGAUGGGGAUGCAGAACGGCAGGGGCGGGUCGGCUGGUGCAGGCCGCGAGGUGUGUGUGCGGCAUAUGGGUGCUGCUGUCCCUGAGCUGUGACUUGAACGGGCACAGGGGCAAUAACAGGGUCCAGGCGCUGCCGGGGCUUCACAGGGCACUGAUGGCAAGUUGGCACCCCCCUGACACGCAACCAGCCCCAUCCCGCAACCCUCCCGUCCCCCAGAUGCCACGCCGACUGGCCGCCCUCGCAUCCGCCGCAGCCUCCUCCUCCUCCACUUCCUCCUCCUCCUCCUCCUCCUCCUCCACCACCCCGCUCCUCCUGUUCGACUCGGACCGGGUGGGCGGCCACCACUACUCCACCCUCAUGGCGCUGCUGAAACCCGCGCUGGAGACCCCGGGUCGAAUCGCGCCGCUGCGGCCUUUAUUGCACAACAUGCGCCUGAUCAAGAGCCCCGCCGAGGCCGGCCUCUGCCGCGCCAGUGCCGUACUCGCCUCGGCGGCGCUACGGCACUGCAUGGCCAGUACGGCACCUGGCGUUACGGAGUACGGGCUGGCGGCGGCGUUCGAGUACGGCGUCAAGGCGGGCGGCGCGGCGCGGCUGGCCUACCCCACCGUGUGCGCGGGUGCGUGUGGAUGCGUGUGUGUGCGUGUGUGUGUGUGUGUGUGUGUGUGUGUGUGCGUGUGUGUGUGUGUGUGUCUGUUGUAUGGUGGGGACGGGGGAAUCUGCAUCGGUGCAGGGCGUGUGGGGGAGUGUUGAGUGAGGUUUACAAGGCAAGGGCAGCGCCGUGGGGCGGGUGGGUGGGGUGGGGCGAUCCAGAGCCGCUGAGGCACGCAACGCACACACCCACACACUGCCAACCCACACACUGCCAACCCACACACUGCCACCCCACACACUGCCACCCCACACACUAUCAACUCACCCCACACCCUGUCACCCCACACACUAGUAACCCACUCCACACACUGCCAUCCCCAGGCGGUGCGGACGCGUGCACCAUCCACUACGGCCGCAACGACAAGACGCUGCAGGCCGGGCAGGUGGGUAGGGGGGGUUUGCAGGCCGGGCAGGUGGGUAGGGGGGGUUUGCAGGCCGGGCAGGUGGGGGGGGGGUUUGCAGGCCGGGCAGGUGGGGGGGGGGGGUUUGCAGGCCGGGCAGGUGGGUAGGGGGGGCGUGCUGGGCCAGGUGGGGGGGUGCAGGGGGCAGGGGCGGUGUGGAGCAGGAGGGGAUGCAGGGACAGGGACAGGGAAGGGACAGGUGCGGUGUGGGGUAGGGGUGGUAAGCCUCUGUUACCUACCUCUCCCUCUUGUUACUCACUCCUCCGCCUUCCCCUGAACUCCGCUGCCUGUGUGACCCGCGUAGAUGGUGCUGAUGGACGCGGGUUGUGAGUACGGCGGGUACGUGUCGGACGUGACACGCACCUGGCCGGUGGCGGGCCGGGCGGGGGCGGGGGCGCGCGGCGGGCGUGGCGGCUUCACGGGGCCCCAGCGAGACGUGUACGCCGUGGUCUUGGAGGCGCACCAGAGGUAAGGGAGGGAGGGAGGGAGGGGGGAGAGAAGGAGAUACCGUAGUGAGGUGGGAAGGUAGAGGGAGAUAGUGAGGUGGGAAGAUAGAGGCGCAGGGGUGCCGUGACGGUGGGAGGCGAAGGGCUGGAGGGGAGAUGACGCGGAAAAGGGAGGGGUUUGCAAAGAGGGUUGGACAAGCGGUACAGCAUGCACCCGAAUACCGCAAAGGUCGGGGGUCGGCGCAGGGGGCAGUCCCGCAGCACACUGCCACGUGCGCCAGCAAGCCCCAGCACGCCCCCACUUCCCUCCUGCCUCCCCCCUGCCCACCCCGCCCACCCUCCCCCGACGCGCCCGCUGUACCCAUGUGCCUGGCUUACAGCUUCGCCCCUCCUUAACCAUUCACUCUCUCUCACACACACACACACACACACACACACACACACACACACAUACAUACACACACACACACACACACACGCACCCCCCCGCCCCAGGUGCCUUGCCGCCACGCGGCCCGGCUCCUCCAUCCGCGACCUGCACCACCUGUGCAUCGACGUGCUGAGCCAGGGCAUACGUGACCUGGGGCUGAGGCCGGGCGCCUCGCUGGCAGAGAUACGUGGCAGCAUGUACAGGUGGGCUGUGUGUGGGCGUGUGUGUAGGCGUGUGUGAGGGGCGUGUGUGUGUAUAGGCGUGUUUGUGGGCAUGUGCAGCACUGCCCCGUUCCAACUACGCCUUCCAUCUUGCCUGGGACCACCUACCCCUCCAAUCCAAUCCACCCCAUCCAAUCCCCCCCCACCUUUGUACCUGGCUACGACUUCACUUCGUAUACUUAAUGCAUGUAACCCCCCCCCCCAGGGACUACUUCUGGCACUCCCUGGGCCACUACCUGGGCUUGGACACGCACGACACACACCUGGUGGGACACGACCGCCCCCUGGCGCCCGGAGCCGUCAUCACAGUGGAGCCGGGUGGGUGUUGGGGAGGGGGGGAGGGGGGGACUAUAGGCAGGGUGUGGGGAGGCAGGAGUGGGAGGGAGGGCGUGUGUGGAGGUGUACUGGGCACGUGCCCGUGCGCUGUUCAUGUAAUGCCACGUCACUAGGAUCGCUCCCGGCUUCAGUCCCCAUGCCGCGCCCCCUUGCCCCACCCCGCUGCCAUUGCCCGCUGCCACCCCCUCCUAUGCCCUGCUCCCAUGGCCUUAACCUCACACCCCUUCACCCCCUCUCCCUCCCCCCUCCCCACUCCCAACUCUCCCUCCCAGGCCUGUACAUCCCUGAUGACCCCCGCUACGGCCCCCUGGCGGGCCUGGGCGUGCGCCUGGAGGACGACGUGCUGGUGACCGCCGCCGGCGCCCAGGUGCUCAGCGACCAGGUGGGUGCGAGGAGGGACAGCCGGGCUGGGCUGCGGUGCGGUGCGGACGGGGCUUGGGUGAUAGAUGUAUCAUAAAAGGUGCGGGACGUCGUUUGCACGGCAUGGCAUGCCGUGGUGGUGGUUGGGGUGCUGAAUGGUUGGGGUAGGUGCCGCUUGUUGCCGCUUAGUUGUACCGUGAUGCCACGUCGAGGUAUGGCGAGUGGUGUGUCGUUUUCGCACGCCGUGAUGCUACUGUUAAGUUUACAUGUCGGAAACCCGCUUGUCAAUCGCCGACUGCCCUUUCGUUGCGACGCGGUGCCGCCGUAACCAACAAUGUCAAAAUAAUGUCAAUCAAUGUCACGGUAAUGUUGUUUCUUGGGCAUAUAUAACCCGCUUGCCUUACCUAGCAUGCAUGGAAAUCCCCCUUGUCUGUCAACAGGCACCCGUGGCCAUUGAGGAGGUGGAGGAGCUGGCGGGGUCGGCGGUGGAGGCGGCGGCGGCAGCGGAGGCGGCGGCGCGGGCCGGCGGCGCACAGCCGCGUGCACUGCCGCUGCCGCCACGCGGACCGCCGGCGGCGCUGUGGCAGAUGAUGUACGGGCGGGCGGCGGCGGCGGCGGCGGCGGAAGCGGUUGGGUUGCCUGGGACAGGGGCGGCGGCGGGUGCGAGCGCGCGGGAGCAGGGGGCGGCGGCUGUGUCCUAGGCGGUUUGCUGUUUGUUGUGAGGCUGGCUUGAGGGGCGUGGCACGGCGCGACGGCCGUCAUGGCGGCGGCAAGGAGAGGGAGGUAGCGUCUCGGUGGGCUUGGAUGCUACAAGUGCCGUGACAGGUGCCGUGAAUACGGCUGCUCUGGCGUGGGGGAGAGCGGGAGCUAGGGGGGAGCGUGCGGGAGAGUGGGAGCAAGGGGGGAGCGUGCGGGCGAGCGGGAGCAAGGGGGCGUGUGGAAUGGCAUUGCGCAGCAGCGGGCAGCCGCCAUGACGGCUGCUGCGCGUGUGUUUGCGUUUGCGUGGGCUCCAGUUCACACAGUUUCGCCGCUGCUCGGCCAGCCUCGUCAGAUGCUCCUGUGUGACACUGCUGUAAGAGCAGAGAGUGGUGAGAAGCAAAGUCCCGAGUGUGAUGGCUAGAAUCCCGGCCCACACAUCCCUCAGGGACCCAGGAACCAGAACCCACGUACCUACCUGGUCACCAGCUAUACAUCUGCCGCUGGACACCUCUGACACUUGUGCUGCAUCUCGGCAUCUGACAAUCUGUACACAUACACCGUAGCCUUGGCGGUUGGGAGUUGGAGCCUUGGAGGGACAGGUUUUCAGCGCAUUGGCUGGGGCGGGGGCAGCCAGGCAGGACUCCUGGGGCCCGGGGCCGGGGGGUGUGGCAGGCAGGCAGGCAUCCCGUGUUGAGGAACGCGAUGGACGCAAAGCAGUCGUUACAUGCCGUGCGAGCCAGGGCAUUUGCCUGCAUCGUGCCCAUACAAUUCGAGUCUCGUGCCCACUUGACGGCAAGCGCAUCACCGGGGCCAGUGAAUGUUGGGUUCACAGCUGUGUAGUAGGAGGCCCCACAGCGCUACAGGCACAGGGCUACAGGCACGGCAAUGCUACAGGCUCUGGCGGUCUGGCUCAAGGGAGGGAGGGCCCCUGGCCUGGCCCACCAACGCAUCACACCACGCCCACUCGCUCCGGCACUGCUCCAUCCGAGGUGACAGCCGCACUGCUCCAUCCGAGGUGACAGCCACACAUCCUGCCACAGCACACGUAAUAUCCUGCCCAUGCCCCUGUUCCACAUCGCAGCACGUGCACACCGCAGCAACAACAACCACAACCUGCCGAGUCCUUCGACGUGCCUUCGCGGGCCCCCACAACCGUGCCGGUGUAUAUUUAGAGAUUACCCCCACGAGAUACCCCCCCUCCCAGCGAGCCGGCCCCUGCACACUGAUCACCACCGCCAUCGCCAACUGCCACGCAGUGAUCCUGCACCCGCACAGCUGCCCCCGCCCAUCAACACUGGGCCACCCUCUCCUUCGAGCCCCCCAAACGCUGCUACUGCCUUCUGCUAAUGCCGUCUGCUGCUGCCUUCUGCUACUUCCGUCUCUACUGCCUCUACUGCCGUCUACACUGCUCCUGUCUUCUCCUACUGCUGACUUCUGCCUGCACCCCACCCGCUCCUCCUUGCCUAUGUACACAGCCCCUCGCCCUCCUGCUGCUACUGCCGCCACCCCUGCCCCUGCUACUGCCACACCCCUGCUACACCCCUGCUACUGCCGCUCCCCUGCUAGCCCAGUCCCUGGAACAGGAACUUGAGGUCCUCCAGGGUGAGGCGGCCGGCGGCGGCGGAGCCGUCGCGCCCCUCACUCAGGGCGGCGGCCACCACCUCGCGCUUGCGCUGCGGCGUGGGUGGGCAGGGGGAGAGGAUACAGGGGAGAUUACAUAAAUAAUCAAUCUAAGAAGUGGAGAUGCAGCCAGGCACAGGGGGGUGCGAAUUUGCAAGAUCCAUAGCCCAAUGCAUUGCCUGUGCUUUCUAGCACUUAAGGAUCAAGGGACGUGUGCGAGCAGGCAAGUUGACGAAACACACGACCCGCAACCCGGGCCGCCGCCCGCUCGCCCCCAACGACUCCUCCCCCCCGCCCCCGCACACACCCCAUGACCUUCACACCCCUCCCCCUGAACACGCCCCCCCUGAAACCUCUUCCCCCUGAAACCUCUUCCCCCUGAAUCCCUCUUCCCCCUUCCCAUCCCUGAAGCCUCCCCUGGACUCCCUCCCUCCCCGCACCUGCUGCAGCUCCAGGAUGCGGUCCUCCACACUCCCCUUGAUGACGAUGCGCGUCACGUACACCGUGCGCGUCUGGCCUGUGGGCGCGUGGGUGGGCGAGUAGGUGUGUAAGUGUAUAGGGUAUGUGUCUGGAACUGAUGCAAGGGAAGGAAACACGCGGGCUAACGUGUGUAUGUCUGUGUACAAGUGUGUGUGUGCACGCGGUAGUAAGGGAAGCGGAGACGCGACAGACUCCUUAUCCUCCCUCGGCUCCCCCCUCCUUAUCCUCCCUCGGCCGCCCCCCUCCUCCCUCCCUCACUCCGCUCUUCUUCACGUGAACGGCUACCCCCCAGCCCCCAGCCCCCAGCCCCCAGCCCCCAGCCCCCCCAGCCCCCAGCCCCCCCUGCCCCCCCUGCCCCCCCUGCCCACCAAUGCGGUGCGCCCCCCUGCCCCCCCUGCCCACCAAUGCGGUGCGCCCCCCUGCCCCCCCCUGCCCACCAAUGCGGUGCGCCCGGUCUAUGGCCUGCUCCUCGGUGGUCGGGUUCCACCACAGGUCCAUCAGCACCACGUGGUUGGCCACCACCAGGUUCACACCCAGCGCGGCGGCCUUGAGCGAGGUCUGGAGAGGGGGGGUGGGGGUUGCAAAGAUGGUUGGGAAAGCGGUACAGGAUGCACCAAAGACUGCAAACGAAGUCGUUGACAAAUGAGCGGCGGGAAGGGUGGGGGAGGCGAACAUGGGGGGUAGACGGUGGGCGGGUGGUGCGGAUUGUGUAUUCCAAACCCAGGCCCAGAAGGCAGUUACAACUCCCCCCCCUCUUGGCCCCUCUGCCGGCCCCUCACCAGAAGCACCAUGACCUCGUUCUUGGACUCAAAGUCCUGGAUGGCCCGCUCCCGGUGAGCCACAGACAUGGUGCCGUCCAGCCUGGGGGGUGGGGCGGGGGUUGCAUUCAUUAUAAUUUAAGAAGUAGUUGGCGGGAGAUUGUAAAUUCCAGCCCAAACCAAACCAAACCAAGCUAAAACGUGGGGAGGGGUGGGUGGGAGUUGGCGGCAGGGUGCGGCAUGUGCGUGUGGUGGUGGGCGUGGUGUAGUCACCAUCCAGGAGACACAGUUAUGCAGGAGGUGGGCUAGCCGUCCAUGCACGACAAACCGAAUUGUUGAUGGAUGUUUCCGCCGGCGUGCGGUAGACGCGAGACAGGCGUGAGAUUGCGCUAGACGCGUGUCCACGGCCACACCGCACAUCCCUUUCCCACUGCCGCACCCUCGCAACCCCACCUCUACCACCUCACCUCUCUGGCCCCCCUCCCUGCCCCCCAAAACACACAGUCACACCCACACCCACACAUACACCCAAACAUCCACGCCCUCACCUGCGGAAAGCCAUGCGCGCCUUCUUGAGCGGGAUCUCCAGCAGGUCCAACAUGGUCGUCCACUGGCUGAACACAAUCACCUGCGGAGGUGAGCACACAUACACAUGAGCGAGCACACGUGAGUGAGUGCACACGUGAGUGAGCACGCAUCAGGGGACAUGAGGGCACAUGCGGGGGAGACGCCACGAGUGUGCGUGUGUGUGUGUGUGUGUGUGUGUGUGUGUACGCGCCAUAGGUCAGCAAACAGAGGGAAAGGAGUUGAGCUGAUGACAGACAGAGAGCCCACGGGAGGCGCAAGGUGUCCUUGUCCGUGUCACCCCCACCCCCGCCCCCACACCCCCCCUCCCUCCAAAGGCACUCGCCUUCUCUGGCUGUCCCGCUCCGCCGCUGCCGGGUGCUCCGGCGCUGAGCGGCGUGAGCUUCCUCAGAGCCCCCGCCAGCCGCCUGUCGGACUUGGACUUGACAGCCAGCGGGUUGAGCGCGGAGGGCGCGGCCCUGAGGGCGCGCGUGUGUGUGUGUGUGUGUGCGUAUGUGUCUGUGUGUGCGUGUGUGUCUGUGUGUGUGUGUGUGUGUGUGUGUGCGUCGGGCACAGGGGAGACAAGAUGGUACAGAUGGUAGGCUCCAAUCACACGCACACGCACGGGUACACACACAAACAGACACACACACACACACACACACACACACGCACGGACACGCGCGCACAAUCCGCACCUGCCGGCCCCUGCCGCCGAGGCGCUGUUGCGCGCGCGCACCUCCCCCAGCAGCGCCAUCAGCCGCUCCACCUUGGCGCUGCUGGUCCAGGCGGGGCCGCCGGCAGCAGCAGAGGCAGAGGUAGAGGCGGCGGAGGCGGAGGCGGCAGAGGUGGCAGAGGUGGCGGCGGUGGCGGCAGCGGAGGCAGAGGUGGCGGCAGCACCGGGGCUGCCGUCGCCGCCCUCGCCUGUAGGUAGGCAGAUAGGCGGGCGUGCGGGAGGGGCGUGUGCGUGCCGUACGUCAGCGCCCGGCGGUGUGGUCAGGCACAGAGCGGCACGGCAGCCCCCUGCCGGCAUUCCUAAUUAAGCGCGUGUGCGCCGGGCCGGGUUAGCAUGUCUAGCCAUAUUGGUGCCGAUGUGGCCAACUACCCGCUGCCUCGCCCUUCUGUCUCUGUCUCCACCGUGCCAUACACACCACCUCCCCUCCCUUCCCCGUCGCGGCUGCUGGCACCCCCCCCCCCGCUCCCCCCCCCGCUCACCCGGCGCCGGCCCGCCCAGCAGCCCCCCGAAUGCCGCCGGGUCGGCUGCGGCCAGUGCGGCGGCGCUGUGCAGGUCGGCGGGGCGCAGCAGGCGGCUGCAGGCGGGGCACAGCAGCUCGCCCUCCACACCUGCAUGAAGUGUCGUCAGGGAGGUUGUUGUUACAAAGAUGGCAAGGGAGAAGUAGGCAUCCGUCCAUUGCGGUUCUUCCCUACGGCGGCGUCUCCUGACCUUGACGAAGCGUUGCGUUGGCGAGCACACCGCACCCCGCCCCCAUCCCCGCUGCCCCAGCCACCCCACCCCGGCAGCCCCCGCGCUCUCCUCCGCGCGAUGAUGAUUUCUUUUGGGACUGGUAUUUACAACCCGCGCCCCCGCCCCCACAUACACACACGGCACACGCUCACCGGCUCCCUCCCGCUGCCCCGCCAGGCACUGCGCACAGAACACGUGGCCGCACGGCACCGCCGCCACAGGCGCCUCCGCAAUGUCGCCACAGCAGGCACACGGCACGUCGCCGCCACCACCCGCGCCGCCGCCGCCGCCGCCCGCCGCCAGCGCCGCCGCCAGCGCGGCCCGCGCCUCCGGCGACAGCUUGCGCGCCGCCUCCACCUCCGCAGCACUGGGGGCGCCUGUAUGUUGCGUGUUGGACGUCGGGUUGUGGGGUGCGUGUGUUUGCAGACGGACAAAUCCAAGUAGCAGUCAUGCGCUCCCGGACUCCCGGCCGCCAUCCAUCCACUGCUCUUAUGCCAGACCCGACGCCGCCACCCGCCGCCACCCGCCGCCCCCCUGCCGCCACCCACCACUCUUGUGCCACUGCCGGCCGCCCCGCACCAGCCAGGGGUGGUUGCAGGCCUGCCGCAGCUUCAACAGCGAGUGCAGCAUGUUGACGUACUGCCGCGAACCGCCGCCGCCGCCGCUGCCAUUGGCGGCUGCGCCUCCGGCGGCAGUGGUGGUGUCGGCUUGGCUCUGGGCCUCGUGUAGCGCCUUGAGGGAAUCCUGCUGUACCUGUGGGUGGCGUGUAGGAAUGUGAGGGGCUUCCUGUUAAAAUGUGAGGGACAGUGGGCGUACAAGGAGUGAGACUCACCCUUCCACCCAUUUUCGCCGCCACACAAGCUAAUUUCCCCAAUUUCGCCGCCACACAAGCUAUUUUCGCCCUUUUCGCCGCCACACAAGCUAUUUUCGCCAUUUACCGGUACUUUAUUGCCGGCCCUCACACCUAUGCACAUGUUCUGACCAAUACCGGCUCCCAAGACCCAUUUCCGCCCUCCACACCACGCGCCCCACCCUCCUCCCCCUCCCUCCUUUCCCCGCCCAACCAAACCCCCCUCUUGGGCUGGGGCAAACCAAACCCCCUUCCCCCUCCCCCCCCCCACACUCCACCCUGCCCCCUCUCCCCCACACCUGACUGUAGAAGGCCGCCUCCGCCGCGCUGAAGCGCUCCUGCACCAGCGCCUGCUGCCGCCCCGGCAGGCGGAUGAUGGGCUCGCCGUUGAGGGUGGACUGCUUGGUGCGGCGGAGCAGCACAGCCUGGGGCGGUGGUGUGGGGGGUGGGGUGUGGGGUGUGGGGGGGGGGGGGUGAGAGGGGGUGAGAGGGGGUUGGGGGUGUGGGGGUGUGGGGCAUUGUGGGGUGAGGGGGCGGUUAGGGUGGGGUGGGGUGGGGUGGGGUGGGGUGGGAUGGGGGGUGGGGGUGUAGAGGGGUGAGGGCUUGCGGAGUGGGGUUAGGGGUGGGUGGGUGUAGCCCUGUGGUGUAGCCCUUGAAGGAAGGCAGGAGCGGUUUGGUUGGGGCUGGGUAGGCGCAGAGGGGCGGUUGGUUUACACCUUGCACUCGAUGUCACUUGUGACAACAACGAAGGCAGCAACCCACUUGCAAACACACGCACAAACACACGCACGCACGCACCUGCAGCACUGCCUGCAGGAACUUGUACCCCCGGGAGGGGUCGGACGUGAUGCGCCCCUUGAUCAGCUCGCGCCACUGCCGCGGGUCGCAGUAGGGCGCGUAGCGCAGGAACCUGGGGCGCCGGGGAAGGGAGGGAGGAGGGUGGUUGUGGUGGUGUAACCCCAGCCCACGGAUGUUUGGAAAAGCGGUACAGGGGGAGGGGGGAGCGGGGUGGGGAGUGAUAAAUUCCAGCCCAAACUAGACCAAACCAAGCUAAACGAGCGGAGCACAGGCAGAGGCAUUAGGGGGGGGGGGACAGGGUGGGGUCGUGUGCGUUGGGGGUGCGGUGACUGCUGGGUGAUGCGAAGCAAUGUGCUGCGAAACGUUCGUGUUGGCUUCCCACCAGGCCACCACACAUGCUCCCGUUUAGCUGGGACUGGGACAAACUACACACCGAACCCCUACCCAACCCCAUGACCGGGUCCUGGCUUCAUGGGAUUGCAAAGAAGGUACCUACAGCCCCCUCCGCCCGUUUUGCUUAUUUAUUAGUUAUAUUAAUAUAUUAAUGCCGCUAACCCCGCCCCCCCGCCCCCCACCUGAAGUAGCUGUACAGGUCGUCCACGGAGUUCUGUAUGGGCGUGCCGCUGAGGCACCAGCGGCAGUGCGCGUGCAGCGCCCAGGCGGCGUGCGCGGCCAGGGUGCGCGGGUUCUUGAUGGACUGAGCCUCGUCCAGCACCACACUGCGGUGGGGGUGGUGGUGGUGGUGGGGGGGGGGGGUUGCAAGGAUGGGUACAGAGAAGUGUAGCGAAGUAGACAGGGGUGGGGGGGGGGGUGAGGAGAGGGGUGGGUGGGUGCGGGGUAAGGGGUGUAGGGGCGUGCUGGUGGAGCGGACUAGAGUGGAGUGCGCGGGGGGUCGUCAUUGCACGAGGGCCCAUCCCAUGGAGAACCCAUCCCGGGGGGAGAAGGCGUGUGGAUGUACCGGCGUAUGUGCGCGUGUGUGUUAGUGUCAGUGUGACCCCAUGCAGCAUCCAUGUUUCCAUGCCGCUCAUUCCUUCUACUCUAUAGGUUGCACUUGGCCCCUCACAACCACUCACCGCCUCCAUUUGACCUGGUAGAUAAUGCCGCCCGCGCCGCUGCCGCCACCCGCACCGCCCUUGCCGCGGCCCCUGCCGCCGCCACCGCCACCGCCGCCACCACGGCCGCGGCCGCCGCCGCCACCAUACUGCACACCAGUGACAGCCGCGCCACACCCCCAACAACACAAAGCCACUUGAGCAACAUGAGCGAUGCAAAAGCGUCUGAGCGGCUUCUAAAUCAUACAUGGCAGUACUUCAAUGCAUGUGUCUGGCAGCAGGCACGGACACGCCAUACCCCAUGUCAGCCCCCGAUCGUGCACACAUCUCCCCCUUCCCGUUUUGAGCGCUACACACAUCCCAAGUACACACACCCGCACACACGCUCCCACAGCACACACACCCCGCACACAUGCCCGCACAGACCCCGCCACGCGCACCCACCUCGUCGCCUCCGCUGUCCUCGCCGCCUCCCUGCACAGCCGCCACCGGGCCAGACCGAGUUAGCUCACAUGCACACAUGUAAAUACGCACACAGGUCUUAGUACCUGUCAACGGGUCCGUGCGCGUCCAAGAAACAGGGUAAGGCCCAACCUCCGCCGCGCUCUGCUUCUGGGUCUUGCUUUCGUUGGGCUUGUCAUAACCCUCCCUCCCUCCCGCCCACCCUCCCUCCCACCACACACACACUCGCGCACGCACCUGCCUCGCGCCCAGCCUCACCGCCGCCGCCCUGUCCCUGGCCGGCGCCUCCUGCGCCAGUGUACCGUAGGUGGUGAGCACCACGCCCAUGCCCGCCAGCGCCCUCGCGCUGCCCGCCCGCUCCUUGCCGUGGUACACGUGCACCACCAGCCCCGCGGCGGGGGACACCUGAGGGGGCGGUGGGCGUGUGCGUGUGUGUGUGCGUGCGUGUGUGUGUGCGUGUGCGUGUGUGUGUUUGUGUGUGUGUGUGUUAAAGAGCACAAGGAAAACAUUGCGCAAAGACGUGUGUGUGUGUGUGUGUGUGCGUGCGUGGUUACAAUUUUAUGAUUGAUGAAGAAAAAGCGAGUUUGUAGCCAGGCACAUGGGUGCGGGAAUGGCGUAGGGUGUGGGGAUGGGGGGCCUGAGUGCCAGGGAAUCGUAGACAUGCAUGAAGACAGAACCUUCGUUUUCUCCUGCUGCCGCUGCGGCUGGCAGGCCCCACACACUCGACACGCAAUGUCAACACACACGCGCUCGACCCCACCUUGGCCUUGAUCUCCCGCGCCCACUGGUGCAGCACACUGGUGGGACACACAACCAGUGUGCCCCCCAGCAGCAGCCCGGGCGGCUCCGGCGCAUACACCACCUCGGCACCCUUGACGCCCUUGGCCCGGCCGCCGAAGGCGGCGGAGGCGGCGGCGCCCGCGCCCGCCGGCCGAGGCUGCGGCGGCGCCGCCGCCGCCGCAGCGCCGCUGCCGUGCGCGCCUGCGGCGGCGCCGCCGCCGCCUCUGGCGGCGGCUGAUGCCGGCGAGGGGCCGUCCGUGAUGGAUAGGAUGUCGGGGGAUUGCUCCUGUGUGUAGAUGCCGGUGGUGGGAUCCUCCUCCUCCUCCUCCUCUUCGUCGUACUCGCCAUCGCCGCCUCCCGCCAGGUCCACAAAGUCAGGCACGGGCCCCACCGGCCCCACAGGCCCGGGCUGCAGCACCUGCGCCCACCGCUGCUGCUGCUGCUGCUGCUGUAGCUGGGGCGGCUGUAGCUGGGGCGAGGGCGAGGGCGCGGCGUCAUCGACAUCCAUGGGGUCAGGCUUGAUCUCAUCUUUGACCUCGGCCUUGACCCCGACCUCGUCUUUGAUGUUGCCGAUGUCAUCCUUGAUCCGGACCUCAGGCUUGAUGACCUCGGGCUUGAUGACAUCCGCCAUGUGGACGUCAGCAUCAGGACUGGCCUCAGGCUCGGCCUUGACGCCCGCUGCCUCCGCCUCCUCUGCCCCUUCUGCCUCCGCCGCCCCUUCCACCUUCACCGCAGCCCCGACCAGCCCCACAUCCCCCGGCGCCGCCUCCGCACCGCCCUCAGCCUUCACACCCAUAGCCGCAGCAGCAGCAGCAGCGCCAGCAGCGCCCGCCACCGCCCCCGGCUCCAGCCUUGGCGACGCCCCCGGCUGCAGCCGCUGCCAGCCGCCCUUUGCCUUCGCCUUCGCCUUCGCCGCAGCUGCCUUCACAGCGAGCGGCACCUCUUCUGCAGCCGCCGCCUCCGCCGCCUCCACCGCCUCCGCCGCCACCUCCGCCGCCACCUCCUCCGCCGCCCCUGCCGCCGCAGCCUCCUCCGCCAGCAUAUCCGCCGCCGCGCCGCCCGCCUCCGCCGCCGCUUCAGCCGCCGCCGCCUCGCGCUCAGCCCUCAGCGCCCCCAGCCGCACCCCCUGCUCGUCCACCCGCUCCUCGCUCUCAUCCUCCGCCACCAUCUCAUCCUCCUCCUCCUGCUGAUCCUCCUGAUCCUCACCCUCAUCCCGAUCCUGAUCCUGAUCUCGAUCCUGGUCCUCCCCUUGAUCCCCGUCAGCGCUGCCGCUGCUGCCGCGCCCCCCGCGGCGCCGCUGCUGCUGCUGCCGCGGCGGAGAUUGGGAGCUGCCCGGCCCGCCCAAGUGCCCGUGCCCGGCCCCACCGCCGCUGGUCGCCGCAACCCCUGGGGCCCCUGCCGCUGCAGCUGCAGCUGCUGCCGUUGCGCCGGCGCCAUUGGCGGCAGCGCCUUCGGCACCGCCUCCCUCGGCCGCGGCUGCUGCUGCUGCUGCUGCUGCCGCUUCGGCUGCGCCCGGUGCGCUGUCCUCGGGGUUGGUGUGCGUGACGAUGAGGGAGAUGGUGGUGACGGUCUUGCCCAGGCCCUGUGCGUGUGUUUGUGCUCCGUCAUGCGUCGUCGUGUCUCGUAAAGUCUUGUUGGGGAUGAUGAAACACCCCUCCAUGGCUAACCCCCCGUCCCACCCCUCCUUCCCCCACCUCCCCCCUCCUCCCNNNNNNNNNNNNNNNNNNNNNNNNNNNNNNNNNNNNNNNNNNNNNNNNNNNNNNNNNNNNNNNNNNNNNNNNNNNNNNNNNNNNNNNNNNNNNNNNNNNNNNNNNNNNNNNNNNNNNNNNNNNNNNNNNNNNNNNNNNNNNNNNNNNNNNNNNNNNNNNNNNNNNNNNNNNNNNNNNNNNNNNNNNNNNNNNNNNNNNNNNNNNNNNNNNNNNNNNNNNNNNNNNNNNNNNNNNNNNNNNNNNNNNNNNNNNNNNNNNNNNNNNNNNNNNNNNNNNNNNNNNNNNNNNNNNNNNNNNNNNNNNNNNNNNNNNNNNNNNNNNNNNNNNNNNNNNNNNNNNNNNNNNNNNNNNNNNNNNNNNNNNNNNNNNNNNNNNNNNNNNNNNNNNNNNNNNNNNNNNNNNNNNNNNNNNNNNNNNNNNNNNNNNNNNNNNNNNNNNNNNNNNNNNNNNNNNNNNNNNNNNNNNNNNNNNNNNNNNNNNNNNNNNNNNNNNNNNNNNNNNNNNNNNNNNNNNNNNNNNNNNNNNNNNNNNNNNNNNNNNNNNNNNNNNNNNNNNNNNNNNNNNNNNNNNNNNNNNNNNNNNNNNNNNNNNNNNNNNNNNNNNNNNNNNNNNNNNNNNNNNNNNNNNNNNNNNNNNNNNNNNNNNNNNNNNNNNNNNNNNNNNNNNNNNNNNNNNNNNNNNNNNNNNNNNNNNCCCCCUCCUCCCCUCCCUCCUCCCAUCCUCCCCUCCUCCCCUCCUCCCCUCCUCCUCCCCUCCCCUCCUCCUCCUCCUCCUCCUCCCCACCGGCCCCCCCCUCCCCACCCCACCUGGUCGUCUGCCAGUAUGCCGCCCCGCGGCUCCGGCCCCGUCUCCCGCCGCAGCAUCCAGGCCAGGGCCAUGCGCUGGUGGCGCAGCACAGUCACCUGCAGCGUCUUCUGCGGGAGGUGGGGUGGGGAGAGGCGAGGUGGUGGGGAGGUGGUGGAGGGGAGGUGGGGUUGCAUUGAUAUGGAGUCAAGACAAGAUGCGCCCACGUUUUUCUUAGUUGAACUGGGUAGUGUCAGCUUUACGGAGGGACAACGAGCUGGAGCGCGGCCGCCCGCACGGCCACUCAUGUGGUAACGACUUCGUCUGCAGUCUUUAGUGCAUCCUGUACGGCUUUUCCAAACAUCCUUGUAAACCCCCCCUUCCCUAAGCCCCCCACCGGCGGCGGCUCCAGCUCCUCCAUGCCUGUGGCGGACAGGCUCUCGAUCACCGCCCGCAGCGCCGCCAGGUGCUCCGGGCCUGACAGCAGGACGAGGGGGGAGAGGCGGGGGGCGUGUGUGCCAGUUGUGUGUGUGCGUGUGUGUGAGGGCAGCCGCACCACUGCUGUCCAUCCGCCCCGCCACGCACCUUUGCCGCCACCCGCCGCGUCGGCCACGGCGCCCGCGCCACGACCGGGCGCGCCCACGCCCACUGCACCGCCCGCCCCUGCCGCCGCCGCCGCCGCCGCCUGCCGCGCCGCCGCCUGCGCCGCUGCAUGUAUCACCGCUGCCUGUGCCGCCGCGCGCAGCAGGCCGCUGGCCGGUAUCGCCACGGGCAAUGCCGGCGCCGCAGAGCCGCCACCUCCGGCGCCGCUCGGGGCCGCCGCCGCCGUCGCUGCCGCCGCCGCCGCCCCGGAGACUGCCCGUGCGGCGGCGCCGCCACCGCCAUUGGCGGCUGGGGCCGUAGUCAUGGCGGGCCUACCCGGACCCUGCAGGGAACACAUGCGGAGCGUGCAGGGGUGGGCAGGCAAGCCGCAGCGUUAGCAGCAAGACACAGCGCUAGGCGUCUGCAGCAGGCGUGACAGCUGCAUGAGAGCUGACUUCUCGAGGCCGGCAUGCAAACACACACAUUUCGCAGCAACCCUUGCUAGAAAUGGUGUGCCUCGCCGCCCUCUCCCUGCCCCAACCGCUUCCUCCCAACCCACCUGCCAUACCACCGCCCCGCGGGCAGCAAUCACUGCAGCCAGGCCGGUGGCGCCUGCAGCGGCAGCAGUAGCAGCAGCGGCAGUAGCAGCAGCACCGGCGGGCGCUGUAGCUGCGCCCGCCGCCCCACCGCCCGCCGCGGCCGCCGGGCUGACAGUGCGCGGCCCUGCCUGAGGCUGCGCCACCGCCGCCUGCUGCGCCUGCUGCGUCUGCUGCGCCUGCUUAGGUUGCUGUGCCUGCUGUUGUGCCUGCUGCUGCUGCUGCAGGGCGUGGAUCUGGCGCUCCAGCUUCGCGGCGGCUUCCUGGAACUUGGACCGCUCAGCAUCCGUCAGCGGGCGCAGCUCAUUGCUCUGCCUGCGAGGGGUUUUUGUUUGUGACUUGUGAUCUGAAACUGAUGUCUAUCGCAAGGCAGGUAACCAGGAACCCAGCGCCGCGCCGCGCCUGUACCCCUCUUGCUGUUCCUACUCGACGUCAGCACUUCAUACUUGUCAUAUAAUCACUCCGUCUGACGGCUACUACCCCUCCCCGGCCGAUGCCUGGAACCGCAUCCUAGGUGCUCCCUGCUGGGAAAUGCACGCCUCCGCCCCAACCCCACCCCCGGUUUAGAUUGGACUGGUAUCUGGUAUCUGGUAUCUGCAAACCCCAGCCCCACUCCCAGCCUCCCCCCUGUUCCUACCCCAGCCCACCCCAAUCACCAGCCCCCCCCCACCUGCUGACGGGCAUGGUCCCCUCCCUCAGCCGCCCCGCCACCACGCCCAGGUGCCGCCGCAGCGCCGCCUCCUGGGCUGCCAGCGAGCCGGCGGCGGCAGCGGCUGGAGCAGCGGCGGCUGGAGCAGUGGCGGCUGGAGCAGUGGCGGCUGGAGCAGUGGCGGCUGGAGCAGUGGCGGCUGGAGCAGCGGCGGCUGGAGCAGUGGCGGCUGGAGCAGUGGCGGCCGGGGAGGCAGUGGCGGCGGCUGGAGCAGUGGCGGCUGGAGCAGUGGCGGCUGGAGCAGUGGCGGCUGGAGCAGUGGCGGCUGGAGCAGUGGCGGCUGGAGCAGUGGCGGCUGGAGCAGUGGCGGCCGGGGAGGCAGUGGCGGCGGCUGGGGAGGCGGCCGGGGAGGUGGCGGCAGUGGCGGCGGCAGCGGGUGGGGAGGUGGUGGCGGCCGCUGCCUGAGAGGUGGCGGCGAUGGCGGUGGGGGCUGCUGCUGCAGGGGAGGCGGGAGAGGCGGCUGUGGCCGGGGAAACCGUAGGCGCAGGCGCAGGUGCGGGAUCUGGCGCGGCGGCUGACGCUGUCGCCUGCGGCUGCUGCUGCUGCUGCUGCUGCUGCUCCGGAUGGGGCGGCGCCGGUGGCGGCGGCUGCUGAUGUUGUUGCUGCUGCGGGUGACGCGGCGGCGCGUGUGUGGCGGCUGCGGCCACGGCCUGGCGCUUGGCGGGUGGGCCUGGAGGGUGGGCAUGCACGUCUGUCGUUUCAGGACACAAGAAGACUUGAGGACAGUCAACGCGCGAACAGGACAGGGCGGGUGACAGGGUGACAGGGCGACAGGGUGAAAGGGGCAACAGGUCGGUCCUAGGGUUUGCAGGGCCUGCAUCGGGGCUCACCAGCAGUGCGAGUGGCACCUGCUCAUUCACGCCUUCCACCAACAGCAGGCAAACCCCGCCCCGUCUCUCUCGCUCCCCCUCCUGCUGCCUUGCAUGGACAGCCCUCCCCCAUGGUCCAGGCGCCGCUCCCACCCGCGGCCUCACCCGCGGCCUCAGCUGCCGCCACCUCCACCUCCACCUCCACCUCCACCUCCAUCUCGCCCAGCCCCGCCUGCUGCUCCCCCCGCACAGGCACAGGCCGCUUCCGCCCUGCCCCCUGCGCCCCCUGCGGCUGCUGCGGCUGCUGCGGCUGUUGUAGCUGCUGCAGCUGCUGCGGCUGCUGCGGCUGCUGCGGCUGCUGCGGCUGCUGCGGUUGCCGCAGCUGCUGCGGCGGCGGCGGCGCCUCCUGCGGCUGCUCCUGCGGCUGCGCAGCGAUGCCGCCGCCUGCAUCCACCGCCGCACCUGCCGCCGCCUGUGUCGCCGCCGCCGCCGCCGCCUGUGCCACCGCCGCCGUCGGAGGCGGCUCGGGCAAGCCCGCGGCCACAUCCACCACCCCGUCACCGCCGCCACCGCCGCCGCCAACUGCAACAGUGUCUGAGCCGCCGCCGCCACUUGCCGCCGCAACAGGCGCCGUCGCCGUACCCGUCGCCGUAGCCACCGCCGCCGCCGCCGCCUCUGCCGCCGCCGCACCGCCCUCCUGCUGCUCCAGGCUGCCGGGUGCCGCCACCGGCCCGUCGGGCGCGGCCGCGAGGGCAGUCGGCUUCAGCACCGCAGCACACGGCACGGCUGCCGGCGCGGGUGCAGGCUCAGGUGCGGGUGCAGGCGCAGGUGCAGGUGCGGGCGCGGGCGCGGGCGCGGGUGCAGGCGCUACUGCCGCUGGCGCACCCGCAUCGGCCUCGGGCUCUGACUUAGCCUUGGCUGCCGCCCCCACCCUUGCGCCCUUGCCCGCGCCCUUGCCCGCACCCUUGCCCGCGGGUGACGCGGCGGAGCCCUUCGCUUUCCUCGCCGGCUGCUGCUUCGGCUCCUGCUUCGGCUCCUGCUUCGCGUCCGGCUUGGGCUCCUGCUGCGGCUCCUGCUGGGGCUGAUGCGGCGGCGGCAUCACAUCCGCCGCUGGCGCCGCCGCAUUCACCACAUCGCCCCGUGCCCCGCCGCCAUCGUCGUUCGCAGCUGUUGCGGCUGCCGCUGCGGGCCCGGUAGCCGGCGCCCCGGUGGGCGGCGCAGGCUCCGGCAGCAGCGGCGCCGAGCCCUGAGCCGGCGUUGAGGCUUGCGGUGUAACCUCCGUCGCCGUCGCUGCCACCGCGCCGCCACCCCCGCCCUUACCCCCGUCCGACCCUGCCGCCGCCGCCGCCGUCCCCGCUGCCGCUGCUUUUGCGCCCGCCACUGCAGACGACGCCGCUUCCGGCUGGGAGCUGGCGGCGGUUGACUGUACGACGUCUGCUGUUACGGUUACAGGCUUGGGUCCCGUGCCUGCGGCUGCAGACGGAGCUGGGGCGGCGACUGGCCGCGCAGCUGCCACGCCCGCGCCGGCACCGGCCGGGCGCUUGCCGUGCCCCUCCGCGGCCGCCGCCGGGCCCGUUGCAGCAGCACGCGACUGCUGUUGCUGCGUGUUACGAGGGCCGGAGGAGGUGGACAUGAAAGCGUGUGUGUUUGCGAAGCAUGUCAGCGCUUGGGCUACGGCACGAGGUGCGCAUGGGGGGUUGAAUGCUCUGGGGGGCCACUGUGCGUACAGGCCCCGCAUGCACGCAGGCAGCAGCAGCUGAACCCCAGCUCAGCAACCCCUCACUCUACACCCCAACCCCAGCCCCAACCGCGGGACAGCCCCUUAUUCCUGCGACUCAUGCCCACAGCCAGCUUUUACUACGCAUGGGGCUCGCCAUCGUCUGGCGGGGAGCCAUUUGCCACGCAUCCUCACCGUGGCGUUGCUGGCAGCCGACGCAGCGGCUUGGCGGGACCUGGCUCGGGCCAGCUGCAUGGCCCGCAACACGUCAUUCACCCUGAACAAAGCGGGUCGCGGCAGGCGAGGGUUUAGUGCAAGAAACUUGGUGCAACCGAGCGGAUGUUCCCGUGCACGCGCAACCGGUUCCGGCUUCAUCGCAGACCAGCUCACCUGUCUCCCAUUGUUUGUGUAACAGCAGUACUCCUUGCUGUAAACCUAGAACGGCUCUGCACAGAACGCCAUCUAGAAGUACCGCCCGCCCUCAGCCUCUUAUGUGACUUUUAGCUCAACAAUACAUUCCAUAUGAUGACACGGUUCUUGGUACAAAGCGUGUGCCCAUUUUCCUACAGGGAGCUAGAGAGCCCAUGCGACCAAGUCCCGAAUUUCAGGAAUCGCACUGUCUAACAGUGGUAAUUUAUUCAUUGAAGGCGCUGAAGGCUGUGAAAUGGAUUAGCAUAGCUCAAAUGGUUGCGUUGAAGCCCCUCGUCAGAACAUCCAUAUGAACCUAUUCUGGUCAGUAGAUAACCCUUCCUUCGUAUUAAGCUAUUGUAUUAUCAUAUAAUGUGGAAGACUCUUGCGCUUGUCGCGGACGAGGAGGUCCGGGUGACCGAGGAGUCCGUGCGAUCAAGCAAUGCUGCCCUGAAUAAGGCUGCAGUGGAGUUGCAAGAUAAAAUCAAGGUGGGGGGUCGAGGGGUCAGCGCGAGCCGCCGAACGGGCAUGUCUAUACUCUAUAGUGGACUCACUUUGUAGUUCGUGGAUCGCUCCCGCUUCUUGCGCUACUCCUUAUCGCUAUUGCCAUGGCUAUGCAACCUACAACCCGUUCAUUUUGCGCCCAUGGGCCUGGGAAAGACGGGCUGCCAGCUCCCCGGCAUGUCGACGCAUUGCGUGGGGAGGGGACACACUAACGCAGCCCUUACCACACCAACUUACCCAGCCCCUGACUCCACACUUGACAUGCGCACAAUACCACAACCAUUCUUGCAUUCGCAGUCAUUGCUGGGCCAGUAUGCGGGCAGCGGCGACGCGGCCGGGCUUCCCGGCAUUGUCGAGGGCGGCAUCGCCGGGGGGGCCCCGGCGCCUGGCGAGCGCGCGGCCAUAGAGCAGGCGUCGGCACUUCUGGGUCGGCUGGUGGAGCAACCCCCCUCUUUGGAUUCGGGGGAACCCAACCCAAAUCAAAUCCUCACGCCGCGCUCACUGCCGGUCGCACGCGACCACCGACUCGGCACCGGCGCCGCGCCGGGCGCGGGUGCGGAUGUGGGCAUUUUUGGCGCGGGGGCGGGCGUGGGAGCGGGCGCGGGCGGCAAGGGCGCCGGCACAGGCGCCGGAAUCAACAAGCUGCGGCCGUACCUGCAGGUGGGAGGGGCGUGGGGCGUGAUGGGGGGGGGAAGCGUGUGUGAGUUUGGUUACGGCGAGAGGGCUGUGAGGCUCUCCGAUGGGGAUGCGCCGUACGGCGGUGUGGCGGUGUGGCGGUGCGGGAGGUAGUAUACAGGAUGGGGAUGGUGGAUGGUGCGUGUAGCACGGCGCCGUUUGGGGUGUGCCGCGGCCCCUGGGGCACACCUGAAGUGUCACGCGUGCGUGCCGGUGGGCAGCACGUGUGCGGGUGUGGGCCAGCUGACGAGGCGAGGCGAGACGAGCUGACAUGAAGAGGGGUCACACACGUGGCGCGGGCAGGGGGCGCCGGCAGGCGUGUAUGUCUGGGGCGGGCGGGCAGGAGGCGGGCGGGAGGCGGGCGGUGCAAAGGCGGGGUUGUGCUGGGUGCGCCAACCGGCCGGGGCCGGGGCCGGGGCCGGGGCCGGGGCCGGGGCCGGGGCCGGGGCCGGGGCCGGGGCACGGCAAGGCCAAGGGGCAGGGGUUGGGGCAGCUGUACACAAUCCCCACUAAGGGUGAAGGCACUCCCCACCCCGCUGCGGCGUUGAUGAAAGGCGCGCUCAUCUAAUCAGCCAUGCCUGGCAACCCGCCCGCAGACCGACGUGCCCUCCCUCAAGUGGGAGGUGUGCGCCAUCCCUGGAGCCGAGCCCAGCACACACGGCGCCGGCGGCCUCUCACACCCGGGGCAGCGCUCCUCCCGCGGCACCAUCGGAGCCGGCGGCGGCGGCGGCGGCGGCAGCCGGCGGCCGCUGUCUGCGGCGGCGGCGGGCGGCGGCGGCGGCGGCGGCAAGCCGGCGCACCUGGAUCUGGUGGUGGACCGGGCGGAUGCGAUGGACGCGGAGGCAGAACUGCAUGUGCGUGGCGUGUGCGCGCGCGCGCGUGUGUGUGUGUGUGUGUGUGUAUAUAUGUGUGUGUUAGAAAACACGAGAUAGCGGACGCGCAGACUGUGUGAGUGUGUGUGUGUGUGUGUGUGUGUGUUUGUGAGUGUGUGUGUGUCACCGCCCUCUCCCCCUCCACCACCCACCACCCCACCCCCGCUGUCUACCUCGCUGCACUUCUCUGUACCAGCUUUGCAACCCCUCAACCCCCUCCCUAGCCACCCACCCUCCACCCCACCCCACCCCACCCCACCCUACCACCCUUACAGAAGAGCCGCGUGGACGUGGCGUUUGACUCCCAGAUGGACCUGCGGGCGCUGCACGUGGACGUGAGCCCCAUCGGGCUGCACCACCUGCUGCUGGGGGAUGCGGUGGCGCUGGACAGCCUGCCGCAGCGGGACGACAUGUUGUGGUACAAGAUGUACUGCCAGGAGCAGCUCAUGGUGAUGCGGGGGGACGGAGGGGGAGGGAAGGAGGGGGACUGGGGGAAGGGGGGCUGGGGGGAGGGGGCUGGGGGAGUGGGGGGGGGAGGGGGGCUGGGGGAGUGGGGGGAGGGGGAGGGGGGAGGGGGGAGGGGGGGGUGGAGGGAGUGGGGGGAGGGGGACUUGGGAGGGGGGGACUGGGGGGAGGUGUUUGAUGAGGUAUGAGGGCGCAGGACUUGCUCUAGCAACUUCCCAACCUCCCAACCUCGGGCAUAUAGCCCUCCCCAGCCCCAAGCCCCCACCCUGCUGUGUUGCACCUUACUCCCAUUGCUCCAAACCCACCACCUCACCCCUCACCCCUCACCCCCCCCACCCCACCACCACCACCACCCCUCCAGGCCGACACGCGGCACUACCUGGUGUCUCUGUUCCACACCGCCGCCGACCCCGGCGAGGCCUGGGCGCGCAUCACCGACGCCUUCAUGCACGGACUGGCGCUGCCCGACCCAGAGGCGGCGAGACGGGUGGGGCGGCUGAGGAAGCACGGCGCGGACGGCGCAGUGUGAGUUAGGGGGGGCUGGGCGGCUGGUUGGGUGGGCGAGUGGUUGGGGGGGGGGGCGGCGCCCCAAGUGGCCCGGCCGGCAUUCCAAAGUGUCUCAUGAUUCCCGUCCCCUCCCAUCCCCUGAAUCUUCCCGCUCCUGCUGCGCCUAUUGCUGCUGACCGUGCGGCCGCUGCCGCCCCUGCGCCUGCUCCUUGCUGUUGCUCGACCUGCAGUGCGGAGAUUGUGGUGAAGCGCUGGACGCCGGAUUCGUACCCGGGUCGCUUCAUGGAGCUGCAGAAGACCAUGGACCGCUGGCUCAAGGAGCUGCUGGAGCAGCGACAGGUACGGGGGGUGGGUGGGGGAUGGGGGGGGUGUAAAUACCAGCCCAAACUAAACCAAACCAAGCGAAACUAGCGGAUCAAAGGCAGAGGUGACAGUUGCAAGCGAUAAGGGGGCAGGUGGGGGAGGUGGGAGGCAGAGGGGCGGGGCCGUGGGGCAGAGGGGCGGGAGUGACUUUUGGACCCGGUGAGGGCCCGGCUGUGAUACUCACACCUCCCACCCCUGCAACCCCCAUCCGCCCCCGCCUUCUGUGCACCUGUACCGCUUUCUCCAACAUCUUGCAAGAAUUGCAACCCCUGCAACCCCCUCCACCUCAACAGGACACACUCGAGGAGCAGGAACAGGCCAGGGCCGCAGCAGCCGCAGCCGCCACGGCAGGCGGCGGCGCAGCCACCGCCUCUGCCCAUCGCGCCAGCGCCGCCGCCGGCGGAGACGGCGCCGCCGCGCCGCCACCCGCCGCCGCGGCCGCCGCCGCCGCCAACGGCCCGGCUGUGUCGUACCACUAUCUGGAGUACGACUUCGCGACGUACAAGCUGAACAUCAUGCCGUUCACCUACCUGCAGCUGGUGGGGCAGAAGCUGCUGUUCCACGCCACACAGCAGGUGGGGUGCGUGUGUGUGUAUGUAUGUGUGUGUGUGUGUGGGUGUGUGUGGGUGGGGGUGGGGUGGGGUGGGCUGGGGUAAAUACUAGCCCAGACUAACGGGGGGUGGGCUGGAGUGUGGGUGGUGGGGGCCGGGUUGCGGCGGUACGCGGUAGAGCCGGAGGUGCACGUAGAGGCAGACUGGUAAGCCCGCUCUCAGCCACACGCCCACACACCCUGCCUGCCCCUCCCGCUUGCCCCUCCCGCCCCGCCCCGCCCCGCCCACCGCCCCGUCCCGCCCCGCCCCGCCCCGCCCACCGCCCCGUCCCGCCCGCAGGUGCCCUGCCUGAUGGAGCUGCCGGAGCGCAUCCCCGACUGGGUCAUCCGCACCCUGUACGCCAAGCCCUUCGCCGAGGCAGUGCGGCUGGUGCGUGUGACAAGGAAACUGCUGAUGCGUUGUGCGGCCGCUACGUGCUAUUGUUUCAUUGACGGGGCGCAUGCUAAACUGGCUUACCUGCAUAAUGCACGCCAACUUCACACGCCAACUUCACACGCACAAUCACAUUCGCCCCCGCCCCCCCCCCCCCUUCCCCCUCUCCUCCCCAGGCCAUCCAGUCGGCUCUGUCCGCCGCCAACGAGCCGCGCGGCGCCGUGAGUGCGCUGGUGGACGAGCGCGCAGCCGGCAGCAAGCAGUACCGCACACUGCUGCAGAGCCGGUGAGGGGGGGAGGAGGGGAGAGGGGGAGUUGUAGAUACCAGCCCAAACUAAACCAAACCCAAUGCAAUAGAGCGAGGAGGAGAGCGUGGCCGGGGGGAGGGGAGAGGGGGGGGAGGGUUUUUGUAAGAACCAAGGCAGGGGUUCAGGCGUGAGUAUUGAAAUGGUGGCGGCGGUGAUGAGUAAGCGGAAGGCGAGCCAAACAAACCAAUCAACUCCACCCCUCCGCUUCAUUUUGUAGCAAGUCUUAAUGUAAUCCCCACGCCAAAAACACGUUCAAACCACCUCAGCGACGAUCGGCGACGUCGCGAGGCGCGCGCUCGGGCUGUGGCCCAGGGCGGUGCCGGCUUCGGCCCCGCCUCCGACGACCUGGUCAGCACCUGGGGGCCGCUAGGAGGAGGCGGAGGCGGAGGCGGAGGAGCAGGCGGUGGAGGUGGAGGUGGAGGUGGAGGUGGAGGUGGAGGAGGCGGUGAGGAUGAUGAGGGCGGCGGUGCGGACGACAGCGAGAGUGCGCUGGAGCAGGCGCGCAACGCGCUGGGGUUCAUCAUGUACCUGUUCAAGUGGGUGGCGCGUGUGUGUGGGGGGGGGGCCAUUCAUGCGAACGGUUUGUAUGAACUAAGGCACAGGGGGGGGGGGUUGUAGAUACCAUCCCAUACUAAAGCAUACGGGGGAAAGUGGGGGGCUGUUUACAGCUUCCCCAGUAGGAAACGAGGCAAGCGGGUGGAACGGGGAGGCUGAGGGGCUGAGGAUCACGCUGAGGAGGGGAUGACUAGGGGGGGGUUGCGGAGUGGCACACACACACACACACAAACACACACACACACACACACACACACACACACACACACACACACACACACAAAAAAAA